rnacentral:lncRNA from 1 species
AACAUUUAAAUCUAAACCAAACAUCCUAACCAAUAAUCUUUAAUUGUCUCCAUUUGAAUCCUAAAAUAUUAUGGAAACUUAUGAGCUACAUACUCUUAAACAACAAUAAUACCCAUGAAAAAUAGUGUAUGGGAAAAAUUGAUCAAUCUUAUGUUAAAGAGUAAAAUUCAUCAUCCACAUAGCAAACAAUCCAUAUAGCAAAUAAUAAGAUAUCAUUGAGAAUUUCAAUCUAACAUCCUCAAUCAAAUAUCAAUAUCAAGUUACGCUCAAUCAAAUCUCAAUAGCAAUCAUAAUGAAUUUCUCCCCAUUUUAUCACAAAAUGACAAAGAUAAAGGACAAAAAGCAAGAGAGACUAGUAUAUCCAUGUCGAAAGAAGUGACACUAUUCAUUUAUAUGCAAGAAAAGGGUUAGGGCAUUAGAAGCAUUGCUUGCAACACUCAAGCAUCACUAGCAUUGUCUAAGUGUUAAAUGCAACUUGAAGGGUGGUGGAAGUAAUCUAUCUUGCUUUCAAGUUGAUUUACAUGUUCUUUCAACUUCCCAAAUGCUUAAGUUGUCUUUUGGAUGUUAAAAAUGUCAUCCUUGAUGUAAAAUCCACAAAAUUCAUCUAAAAAUCCCAAGAACGAAAUUCGAAUAUGAAACAUGUCCAUUCACAUGCAAAUCCCUCUCAAAUAUCAUCAUAGAUCAAUACUUUAUGGUAAUCAUAAAUAAUUCGAGUAAAACUCAUGAAGAUGAAUUCACAUCAUAUAAAUUUUUCAUAAAAAUUAUCUAGAGAAGCAAAUUAAUAACAAAGUAGACUUUAAAACUUUUCAAGAGUGAAUUAUAUAAUUACAAUAAUAUAAACCAAAAGUAGCUAAUAUCAAGAAAAUUAGCUUAAUGACUAAUUAUAGUGAUCCAUGUUACAUGUCUAGUUUCUCUUAGAUGAUGCCUAAAUUUAAAUCAAUCUAACACUCAUUCAUUUUUUAAUAUGAUUCUGUCAGAUUUCCACUGAAUAUGAUAAGGUGUUGAUUUUUGAAGCAAAAUUUUAAUUACUCCUCUUGAUUCAUAUACUUUUGAUAAUAUUGAACUUUUGUUUUGACAUGAAUCUAUUUUAAAAUGGAAGUCCCCACAAAAAUAGCAAACUACCUUUCAUACAUUAGGUAGCCUUCCCACUAGAGGAUUUUCCUAAAUUUACAAGUGGUGUCUUUCACUCUUGAUUUAGAGAUACAUAAUAUUAAUUUUACCAAUGUAGUCUCUUUCACUUGGAGAAUUUUAACAAAUUUCAUACUUACUCCAUUAUCAAAUUCCUUAAAAAAAAUUAAAAUAUUUAUAAUUAAAUAUUAUUAGUGUAAUAAACUAAUUAAUUUAAGUUUUCAAUUUUGUUUUAGACUUUCGUAAUUUUUACUUUACAUACUUCCCAAGUUUUAUGUCAAUAGGACAAAUCAAGUAAAUAUAAUUGAGUUGUUUGACAUAUAAGGUUGUAAAUAAGAUAUAUAGUAUACUUAUAAUUUAUUUGACAUGAAAAUUAAAAUUAAAAAUGAUAUUUUGAUUGGAAUGGAGUACUAGCAUAGAGUGCUAAAUGCUAAAUACUUGACUAGCAUUAAUUCCAAAAAUUUUCAAUUUCUCCAAAUUUCCAAAUUUGUAGUUGUUAGUAAUAGUUUUUAAAGGGUUUUUAUCCUAUAAAUUUGUUUAUAGAUUAUGCUAUUUUGCACUCUAGGGUUUACUGCCAUUGUCUCUACACAUUCUUAACACCCUCAAAUUUUUUUUUUUUCAAAGUUUGCUCAUGGUGGUUGAUCACAUCUCCUUAAGUUGUUAAGGUAUUUACUAGGGAUCAUAAAGGUGUUGCAUCAUAUAUGUGAAGACAAAUGUAGGUUCUAGCCAAACUCAUGCUAAAAAUAGUGUUUAAUCUUCCAUAAUUAAUAAAGGUGCUCUACGGUUGAUUGAUUCAUGGUUAAUACAAGAUUGAUUGGUCUUUGUUUUAAAGAUCUUGACUUAUGGAGCCAUAAAGAGUGGGUUCAAUAUAAGAAUGAUUGUUCAUUGUUUUAAAGAUCUUGACUUAUGGAACCACAAAGAGUGAAAUCUUCCAUAAUUAAUGAAGGUGUACUAUACAAUCAAUUGAUUCGUAAGAUUGAUUGGCCUUUGUUUUAAAGAUUUUGACUCAUGGAUCGACAAAGAGUGGGUUCAAUAUAAGAUUGAUUAGUCUUUGUUUUAAAGACAUUGACUUAUGGAACCACAUACAAAAUGGAAUUCUUCUUAAAUAUGAAAGGUAAGAGAGUAUGAAAUUAAAUUGAAUGGACCCCCACACUUCAAAUUUAUUUAUUAGGGAGUAUGGAAUUAAAUUAAAUAGACCACUAUACUUCAAAUUUAUUUACUAGGGAACAUGGAGAUGUUGCAUCAUCGAUGUGAAGGCAAAUGUAGGUUCUAGCCAUGCUACUUGAUCUUCCAUACCUCAACAUGAUAUUCUUAUGACUUGAACCCAUGACUUUAGCUGUGAUUCCAAUUCUUGGAUUGGGUUUGGACUAUCUCAUUCAAAAACUAAUUGGUAUCCGAUGAGGGUAUACUAACCUUUUAUAGCAUUCCAUCACACCAUUAUUUGGGUGACCAAUCAAUCGGUUUAAGAGCGGCAUUGUUACACCCCAACACUACGUAUGCAUCAUUUUAAGCUUUUAAGAAUGAAGGUAAAGAGGUUGAAGUCUUGAAGUUUUUAAGGAUGAAUAUGAGCUUUCAUUCUUACCUAAAAAAUUUGAAGAUAAUAUGAAAAAAAGACAUUUUUUUUUCAAAAUCAAACUCUAAAAAGGGAAAAAUGAUUGAAAAUAAUCAAAUGAAAAAUGAAAAAAGCUUCAUCUAAGAAUAAAAAUAUUGAUUACUGUAAUCGUGGAUAGCUAUGACACAUGGUUAUAGAUUGUCCUAGUCACAAAAACAUUAAGCAAACGACUUAGAGCGAUUUUGAGUCAAGUAAAAGUGAGUCAUCAAACUCAAGUAAGAAUAUGAAUGAUUACAUGAAAACUUUAUUAUCUUUAUUGUCCCCAUUUAUUUUGAUUUUGAUCCUAUAAAAGAUAAAAAUUCUAAUAAUAGGUGUGAAUAUGAGUUUGAUAGCAUUCAUGAUGCUUAUGAAGUUCUUCUUGAAGAACGCCUAAAAAUUAAAGCCAAAACCUUAAAAGUAAAUAAUAGGCUUUAAAGGUGAAAGAAUUGAAUGGCUUAAUAAAAUAUGAAAACCCCAAACUUCUUAAUGAAAUUGUCACCUUAAAAUCCAAAAUAAUAAUAAUAAUUAGGUAAAAUUUCUAGAGGUUGAACAUAACUCUAUACUUGAUAUUGAAACUCUAUAUAUAUAUAAAUCCUUAACCCUUGAUAUUGAAAAAAUGGAAAGGGUCUUAAGUUAUAAAAAGAGGAAAUAUACCUAAGUACUAUAUUUUUUUAAUAAUGAUAAAUUUGGGUAAGUCUUUUAGUGACAAGAGAGGCUUGGAAUAUCUUAAUGAGUCUACCAUGCCUAGUAAUAAAAAAAAAAUUUAUUAAGGCUAAAAAAGUAAUUAUCAUUGUCUAAUUACCACAUAUUAGGACCAUUAUAUGUGUACUUUUUGUCAUAGGAAUGAUGACAUGAGUGAUCGAUGUCACAUUAGGAAGUUUGAAUAGGUUCAUAAGCAAAUUAGCAAGUUUGUGAUUAAAUUUAAAACAUUAAGAGAUAAAAUUGUACUUAAUAGGAAAAAAAAAAUAUUCAAUGGGUUUCAAAAGCUCCCACUCAGGCUAAGCCUUGGAUGGGCAUUUAUAAUUUCAUAUUGGUACUUCAAAUUCAUCUUUUAGUGUUUUUAAGACCAAACUUUUGAUUAGAAAAGAUAACAUCAUUGCAUUUCAAGGUAAGGACUAAGUUUACUUAAAUUUCAUUCCCUUAGAUUCUCUUAAGAUUUUACCUCUUAUGAUUCCUUUAAGAAUUUCCUCUUCUCAAUGACUUAUUCUGUUGUAUAACUUAGGGUCUUAUCUUAAUGUUUAAUCAUUAUCCCUACUGCUAUAUCGAUUUUACCCCCUAGAGGUUUGCUAAAUAUGUUCUAAAGACUUCAUUGUUAGUGUGCUAGUUGUCUUCAUUGAGUCUAGGUCAUGGACUUAGAGGGAGUGGUAUCGAUUAUCCUUUAAAGUAAUGUCAUAUGUUUGAACUAGGAUCAUUGAUGUAGGAGUGGGUAAGGGUCAUAUUUGUUACGAUCCUAGGGUCAUCUAAUUCCAUGUUUAUGAUUUGAUGAAUUUUGUUAAUUAUUUGAUUAAUGAUUAUUUUUCUAAAUAGUUCGAGUGAUUUUCCAAAUUUAUUAUUUAUUGAAAUGUUUCUCUUUUGUUUAUUAUUUCUAGUAGCACUUUAUUUUAUUGUUAAAUCAUAAUGGAAAAUACGUCUAUGCAUGAGGAGAAUUUUUUAAGAUCUUGAAAAUAUUUUUACAUAUUAAAUAAAAUUUUCUUUGAUUGAAAUUUUUUAAGAAAGCACUUUAUUAGUUGGAUUAUCCACAAAUGGGUCAUCCGGUCCAAGCUCGGCCCAUUACCAUGACAUUUCGGCCCAUAAAAUUUCUAGCCGUUGAAUUUCCGAAUCGGAAAGACCAGCAUUUAAAAGAACAAAAACCUUGGUCAAUCCGUAAGCGAUGUUGUAGAUAAAAGAAGAUACACGCUCCUUAUAACAAAAACGGCCCACUGCCGAGACCAGCAAGCCAACACGUGGACGUGUCAUCCCCUUUCAGCGAGUACCCUCAUUGAAAACUACACGCGAGCGUCUCUAUUCUGGCACGAGGAAAUAACGGUUUCCGAUUUGUACUCACAAACAAUAACGAUAACAAUUCCCAAAUGUUUUCCUUCUCUGCAGACACACUCUUGACUCUGGUUUCGAAAGGCAGAGAGUCAGGGCUCCAUUUUGUGUAUUGGAAAGGUAGGGUUUUGAAGUUGAGAAGAUUAUGCGAAGCGGUGGGGAGGUAGGUAGGCGUAGAGGAGGAUGUGAUAGUGGCGGUGGAGGCGGUUAUUCUGUGCUUUGUCGGUCAUUGAGUUCGUUGUUGCCGAUUGACGGAAACCUCUCGUAUCGAAAGCUUUCUCUCGAUCUGUACAAGCUUUCUAUUCUCAAACUGGAUGGCACUUCUUUUGGUAACUUCUUUGAUUUUAGUUUAGUUUAGUAUUUAUUUUUUUGUUUCUUAGGUUUUGUUUUUGGUUUCAUACCAGAAUCCUUUUUCCGAGCAAACCUCAGUUGCUACAUUUUGCUUUGUUGUUUGGUUGUGUUUUUGUUUUUGUUUCUUUCCCCUUGUUUGGUUUGUUUGGGAGCAAAAUGGACGGGGUGUGUGUGAAAGAAAAAUGCUUCACAUUCUCAUGGCUUUUGAAAUGCUUUUCAAAAUACUCAAUGGCAUAACAAUUGAAGAUUUAGAAAAUCAGAGUUAUUUAUAGCAUGUGUGCAUUAGAAGAAGCAAAUCGGCUUAUUGUCUUGGUGAUGUGUAUGAAUCACUCUUUUUUAAUACGUCUUAUGACAGGGUACAGUUUAUAAAUCAUAAAUGUUUCUUAUUUAGUUUGGAGUUAUUCAGCAUGCCAUUUUGUCACCUGGAUGAGCCAUUAGGAGAACCUUUUUGCAAAGAGCAUUCUUUUCCUUUGUGAGAAGGUAGUGAGAAUGAAAAGAAAAAAGAAAAGGUAAUUAUCAUUUUCAAAAUAAAAUUGGCAAACACAUUUGAAAAUUUGGCAGUUUCAUGUACAACUUUUAGAUAAUUUCCAAAGUUGAAGGGAUGGCAAUUUUUUAGAAUUUAGAAAAAAAAAAAUGAAUCCUAUGUUUAAGAAGAAUAGGAAGAAAAGGCAUGUAUUAUCCACCCCAAUCUGAUUAUAAAGCAUUAAAGGGCAAACCAAAUUGUUUUUCAACAAACAGCUCGAAGAGAAGAAAAACAUUUAGCGCAUCAGAUUUAGCUUUCAACAGAUGAAUCCAAGUAAAUCUAGUAUAGCCAUCGACAAAAUGUAUAUUUUAUAGUGGAAAGCCCCCACAAGUCAGUGUGAAUCAACUAAAGAGGUGCAGUGGUUUUGGUUAGGGCUGGGAAAAAUGGGAAAGCAUGAUUUUUGCCAAACUGACAUGAAAUACAAAAACUUGGAGAUAAGUUUUCAUCACUAAAAAAGGAGUCAUUUCAAAAUUUUAAAAUAGACUUGAGUACUUGUAGGGAGGGGUGUCCCAACCUCUAGUGCCAUACAUCAAGUUUAUUUAAUUUAACAAACUCUUAAGACUUGAUUAAAAUUAUGACCAACAUCAACUGAUAAACUGGUAGAAAAGGUAAUAACUCUUGGUGUGGCUAUGGCAUGAUUGAGAAUGAAACUAGGUUGUAUCAGAUGAUAGAUAGAGGCCAUCUUUAGUUGAACCAUGGAGCAAAACAUUCCUCAAGCUCUUGUCCUUCACAAAACAAUGAUUCUUGUGAAACUCAACAUAAACAUUAUUAUCGGCAGCAAUCUUAGAAAUGCUCAAGAGAUCUUUUGUAAUUUCAAGACACAAUGCAACAUAUUUCUAAGAUCAAUAUACACUAUAUUAUUGUUUCUAAUCAAAAAGAAAAAAGAAAAGUAAAUAAAAGAAAAUAAAAGAAAAUUCUAAGAUGCAAGGUUUUAAAGAAAGAAGAUAGUGAAGAAUAACUAACAUUUUGAAUGCACAAAACGUGACCAUUGCCCAUAGUAAGCUUGUCAAGACCAUUAUAAUCAAAUUCGAUGCUUAGGUUGGGUCACAUGGUUCAAUGCACACUGUUGAAGUACCAAGAUGGAUUUACUACUGUAUUAGGGGAAGCAACCAUUGAAGCCAUUGAAUUACUUUGUGGAAAUUGAAAAAAAAAACUUGAUCAAACUAAUAGUAGCAGUUUAUUGCAAUAUGCCUUGUCGACCAUAGAUUUGGCAAGUUGGUCAUGGUCAAGGUCACAUAUCCUUCCUAUUCUUAUAGGGUAUGGUAUUGAUGGUUUUGACGCUGGAGUGAAACCUUGCUUAGAUGAUCUUAUCAGUGCUAAAGGUAAUUCCUCUAGCAUUAAUCAAAUGAUAAAUUGUAAACAUUUUUAUUAGAAGAGAUAGGAUUGCCUCAAUCUCAAAAGAUGUUGUUGGUCAAAUUGUGGGUUGUAACACUUCACAACUAGUUUGGGAAGCUCUGGAACAUCUCUGUGCCUCUCCUUUAAAGGCAAGGAUACUUUAGUUGAGAAUCCAAAUGCAAACAACUAAAAAAGACUCUCUCUCAAUAGUUGAUUACAUUGGCAAGAUCAAGUAGAUUGCAAACAAUCUUGUUGCAUCUGAAGCAACUCUUACCGACAAGGAUCCUGUAAUGAAUUUGUUGCCUGAUGUUGGAUAAGAAUAUGAUUUGGUGGUUGUCACAUACAACACGAUAAAUAAACAUUCACUCUAUCAAAAGUUUUUGCAAUGUUGCAUAAUCAUGAAACUUGUAUUGAGCAGUUGAAUUCUUGCACGCAAAUUAAUCUACAAAAUGUCACUUCCAAUUUUACAAUAGUCAGUGCUCUUAAGGGAGGUCAUGACACUAGAAACAAUCAUGGGAAUGAUAGAUCACACAUUGGAGGUCGUAAUUACCUCUCGCCAACUUGGUUAGUAGAGUGAUGUUGGGAUUAGAAACAACCGAAAUAGGACUAACAAAGGAGGAUGGCGUUGUUGCUAGAUUUGUGGUUAUGGUAGGAAUUGUGAUGGUGGAUAUGGUAGGAGUUGCGAUGCUAGUCUCAUGGCGCUUUGAUACCAUUAUUGGAUUCAAAGAAAAUAGGGAAAUAUUUGAGAGAGAGUAGAGAGUGAAUAAGGAUCAAAAUAUUGUAGCCUUCUUGUUUCUUUUCAUAUAUUUAUGUAAAAGUUUACAACACCUAUACAAUCAGUUGUAAUUGCUUCUAACAUAGAGCUUGAUUCUCUUCAUGCCUUGAGCUAGUGUACAUGUGAGGGUAACAAAUGUUUCUAAAACUACUCUCAACAUUUUGCAUUAACAAAAAUAUAAUUUAGAGAAGUUAAUAUUCUUAGCGAGAAAAUGAUUGGUUAGCGGCGUGUAACUAGAGUGUCUACUUUUCUCUUCUUGUACUUUCUUAUAUUUGAUUACUUGUAGUCUUGUUUUUCUUUGAUGGGAGGAUUCCUCAUCCUUCUAAUUGAUUGUACCUUCUUUUUAUCAAUAUAUUCCUUUGUCGUUUCCUAUCAAAAAAAAAAAAAAAAUAUUCUUAGCGAGGAAAUUUCUCUAUCUCCACCUUUAUUCCCUCCCAGAAUAUCACCUCUUCAUAUUCUUCCUAUCAUCCCAUCCCCUUAACUUUGACAUUGUCGUCAAUGUUAGAAAUCAAGAACAACUUUUUCGGUUUGUAGCAAUGCCCCUUAAUCCUCUUUUUAAGAUGACUAUAUGUUUGGGUUGAUCUAGCAGAAGUUUGUUGGUUUCCUUGUCAUAUAACGGUACACCUUUCUUCCUGUAGUUGAGCCAAGUCAAAUACCUAUGGGAAUCCUCAGUUUGAAACAUUGGUGAGUCAUGAAAGGAUGUGAUUUUGACUUGCUGCAAUGGAGUUUGAUGAGAAUAGAAGAAUACCUUUGCAUGAUAAUGUCUUUGUGAUGGAUCUUCUCCAUUAAAUUGAGGAAGCUCCAUCCUUAUGGUUUGAGAAAUAAUUGUUGGAUUAAAUUCUCUAUCCCUUGGAUUGGAGCUGUGUUUGUUUCUCAAAAUCAAAUCCAAGGAUUGAGCCUCCUUGGUCUCUCUUCGCAUUUGCUCCACACUUUUAAGGAUAUGAUUACUCUUGGAGUUAAGAGCAGAGAGCAUCUUCUUCAUGUCAUAUAGUUAUUGUUCUGUUUGCUCAUGGAAAUAUUUGAACUUUCUUCCAUAGUGUUGAAGGACUGUUAAUGCUCUAUUACACUUUAAGGACAAAGUGAAUGAAAGUUAAAUUCAAUAAAAAUGUUAUUUAGAAAACUAGAGAUUGAAAAGAAGUUGAAUAAGAUGUUGUUUAAGCUCAAUGAGGAGAUUCUCCCUCCUCCACUUUAAUUCCAAUCACUUACUCCCAUUCUUCUCUGCAACACCCAAAUAACCAUUUCUAUCAGGAAAAUAGCUCUUAUUGUUUCUUACCAAAGACAUGUGUUUUUCAAUAGGAAAGAUUUUCUCUAAUUUGAUGUUUUCCACCUCUAUUGCCCACUCCAUUUGCAGUGGUACCCUUGAUUUGUGGUGACUCCGAUCGAUGAUUAGACUGGGAAGACGAUUAUAAGAUGUCAGAACAGCAGGAGCCUUAUCCUGAAAUGGCUGGCCCAUUGUCCAGAAAUCUCUUCGGAAAAUGCUUUUCUAAUGCAAAUUCCAUGUCCUUUCUUCUUCUUUUUUUUUUUUUUAAAAAAUAAGUUUAAUUCCAAAAAAUAAUUCCCAUGUCCAUUAUUGGACAGAACUUUCAUUCUGUUUUUCUUAAUAUGAUUCUAUACUACAAAAAUUUUGAAAAUCAGAACAUUAAAAAUUUAAGCAACACGUGGGUUAUGCACCUAAUAUUUUAAAGAACAUGUGGGUUCUAUGUUGAAUUGUUUGGAUUAAAAUUUUGAUUGUGCAGAUGUUCAGGUUGCAAGGAAUGCGAAAGUAGCAGAACUCAAACAAGCAAUAGAGGAAGUUUUUAGUUUGUCAACAAAUGAAGAUGAAGAAAACAUUUCAUGGUAUGAUCAUAUUUGAUUAACGCAAUUUGGGGUUACAAAUAACUUCUCCCUUUUAAUUCAUAAAAGAACUUAUACAACAUAAGGCCAAGUACUAUCUCUUUUAUCCUCAGGUUAAACAAGGUAGUUUGAAUUGCCCAGCUUUGUGCAGUAGACCACUUUAGAAGCAUAUCUUAAAUGAUUACAAUUCUAGAAUAUAUAUAUAUAGAUAUAGAUAUCGAUGAUAUUUGCUUUAUAUUUUUUUGUAUGGGUUGAUCUCCUAGGUUAAAUUGAAUUAAUAUGCUUCAUAAUUUCUUGAUGUGCAGUAGAGGGGUUCCUCAUGUUUCUGAACUUGAACAAAUUGCUAUUUUAUAACCAAAAGAAAAAAAAAAAGAUUUUCUUGGUUAAAUUUUUGUCUUUUCCUACAUGUAAAUCUGAUAUACGUGCAGGUCACAUGUGUGGGGGCAUUUCUGCUUAUGCUAUGAAGGACAGAAGCUAGUGAAUGAUAAGGCACAUAUUCGAGAUGUUGGGAUUCAGGAUGGUGAUCAGGUUAGUGCUACUUUUUAUUCUCAUAUGAAGUGGAACCCAAUAAGAAUUUAAUAUCUAGCACAGUCCAUUGCUUUUGAUAUUUACAAACUGAGGGUUACAUUUUCAUGCUGGGCUUAUGAAGAGUAGAUAUACUUUUCUGGAUGGUUAUGUAUUUGCAUAUUUGAAGCUGUCAUUGAACUGAUUCUCUUUUGCUUGACUAAAUUUGUGGCAUCAAAUAUCGAUGUAUUUUCUGUAAGAAUCGCAUGUGAAAGUUUCAAAAUGAAUUUUGACCCCUGAUUAUGUCGGGAAUCUUCUGACUGUAGCUCCUUAGCAACAUAACUGGUUAUAUUGGUUUUGCCUUUCAACAUGUUUAUUAGGUUCAGUUUAGAUCAUCCUAAGGAAUUUAGAUCAAAUAUUCAUUUGAAAUGUUUGGCGAAAGUAGGUGCUAAAUGUGAUGUACAGUAACUACCAUCCUGCAUUAUCUUUUGUUUUUCUAAUUUGUUAGAAUUUUCAUUAAAAAAAUAUAGAUAAAGUACCCCCUUAAGGGAAAAAAACAUGAUCUUCAGGCUGAUUUUAUAUAUAUAUAUAUAUAUAUAUAUAUAUAUAUAUAUAUAUAUAUAUAUAUAUAUAUAUAAUUUGCAUUUCACAACAAAUGCUAGUUACUCAACCAACAAUUUAAUAAACCCUUAGAAAGUAUCCUAGAUGGAUGUUACAAUGUCAGUGAUUGAAGUUCUUUAAUAAUUUUUGCCAAAGUGAAUUGACAUCAUGCUGCAGGCCCCCUUUUUUUGGGCAUUAUUCUCAGAUGUGGUUGCUACUCCUGUAACCCUGUUGUGGUACCACUAGCCAAGGUGGUGGCAUCAUCAUUUUUUGGACCAAUAAUUAGAAUAUGGCAUGAGGUAGAUAAAAAUUUGUGGUAAUUCUUUUAUCUUUUGUGGUUAAGGAGAGAAUCUCACACACAGACACCCCAACCCCCAACACACCCAAACCCUCUCUCUCUCUCUCUCUCUCUCUCUCUCUCUCUCUCUCCACCAAACAUCCACACUCACUUCCCUCUUUUUUUACUUUUGAGAUUCUGCAUUAAUCUUUUGAAUGGUUGAGCCUUUCUUUAGACUUGUGAAUCUUCUGCUUUUAUGACAUAACUUGUAGGACAUGUUUGUAAUGCUGGAAUAAGAAAUGAGAAUGAAAAAUCCUUGUAUUGCCUAUUCAUUAUCGCGUUUAAAUUACUUAUUAGAAACAGGAGUAGAUUCAGAUUUCAUUUUAAUGGGAACCAAAAGUCAUAGUUGUUAGGGUUUUGAUUUCUCUUUCACAUGGUUUUAUAAUUUACCUCCAUUUCCAUUUCUAUUCCCUUCUUAUUCCUGGGUACCAAUGGAUCCUUAAUGUUUUAUCACAAAAGAGAAAAAUUGCCUUUUCCCAAUCUUCUAUGUUUUGGGAUGUGAUCACAUUCCUGAAUCUGUAUUAGUGUUCUCUUCUUUCUGUUCCCUAGUCCUAUUUAGGGGUGUUAACAUUAUAUUCUUGUAUUUUAUUGGAUUUGAGUUGCUCCUAGCAACCUUCUAAUACAUUUUCUUGCUUGGGAUGGUGCAGCUUCAAUUUAUUCAGCAUAUAACAACCGACCGUAAUUCUAAGAAGAAACAACCUAAAAAAGAGAGUGUUGCCUGCAGACAGUCCCAGAUGUAAGAAAUUUCUUUGUUUGUCUUCUUUGUCAUUACAAUAUAUAUGUACACAGGCAUGCACAUGUACACACAAUAAACUCUGCUGCUUGAUACUGUUUUAUGAAUUGUGGCAUUCACUCAUUGUCUAAAAUAGUUGGCCAUCUCAAGUAGGCCUUAAGAGAUUUUGAUCUGGGUAUAUUUGAGAUGGGAUCUUUGUUCUGGCACCAUGCUAAAUCACAAAGCAGAUGGGUUCUUUGUGAGACUAGACAAAGGAUGUUGUUCACUACAUGACCGGUGGCAAAGAAAAGUACAUCUUGUGCAUCAUUUGGAUGACACAAGUCAUAACACCAUACACAAAUUUUAACUUCAAACAUUCCAUGAGGUCCAACUCCUGCUCUUCAUCUCCCCUUUUCGGACCGAAAUUCAGGAUGCAACAUGGUUUUGAGAGGUGGAAUGAUCCCACUGAACCCUUCACAACCUGUAUUGUGUGAUGACCGAACCCCAUGGAUUUUUCUUUUGUAGCAUAGUAUCCUGAAAUCAUUAUAUACGUUUCUGAAACUAUAAUCCUGAGAAAUGGAACUAAUACCAUUAUAAUAAAAGGUUGUUUGCAGGAUCAAGGCAGCGUGAUGGUGAUGGAACAGAAGACGAGGAGGAAAUUCCCAUGCCAGAGUUUAAGCUUGCACACUUCUUGAAAGGGUGGCUCCCAUACUCCCGUGCACGGAGUAUGGGAAGAAGAGGUUCUGAAGGUAGGAUCUGUUCUUCAAGAUUUGGUGGGCGUUGCCUAGGAGUGAGAUGCAGACCGGGAAUCAUACGUCUUGGAGCAUGAGUAGGAUCCGACCAACAGAAAAAAAUAAAUAUUAGCAGUGGCAUAUCUUACGUAAUAUGCCUGUCGAAGCCAGGUUUCUCUUGAGCUUAAAGUGUUCCACGUGCAACUGUAGGUUUAGUUUUUCCCCUGAGGAAAUUUUGGUUGCCAUGGGCAUAUGAGAAUUUGAUGUUAAGUUUUAGGUUUUUCUCCCCAACUUCUGGCAAUUAAAAAUAUUAAAAAUAUCUUACAAGCUUUUCCACUGUAUAUAAUAAGUCUGCAAAAUUUAGUAAAAGAGAGACUGUUUUUUAUAUUUAAAUUUUCAAAUAAAAUUUUGUUAUUGAAGAUAGGAACGACAAUGGCCUAAAAUAAUUUUCAUCCCGUCUAAGUACAAAGGUUAAAUGGGGUGGUCAAUUGAUCUCAUCUUUAAAAAGUUAUUUAAAAAGAAAAACUUUUUUCUAAAAAUUAAUUUUAAAUUUUUAGUUACAAUAAAAAUAAACAUAUUUUAUAAAUAAUUAAAAUAUUAUAAUUUUUUAUAAAUUUAUUUUAUUAAAAAGUAAUGUUUUCUUACUUUAUAUGUAUUAAAAAUUUUAAAAAUAAUUUUUUUUAUUAAAUUACCCUUAAAAAUUAAUUUUAUAUAUAAUUAAGACGAAAAAUGUAAAUACCCUAAUCAAUUCCAAAACCCGUCACUCUCGUUAAUUUUAAUUCCUAACUCGUCUAAUUAUUAAUGAAGUUGAAUCCAUCCGGAAUUCAAUACAUUGCAAAUUUAGGAUCUUUCAUUCCUUUUAAUCAUUUAGUUUUCAUCUGUAUCACAUCUUUCAUCCUUUUAAUCCAUUAUUCCAAUAAUGAUAAAAUUCAGAUUCUUUCCAAUUUUUUAUUUACUAUUUUAUUUGUUCUUUUUUAAUUUCAACAUUUUUACCCCUUGGUUUUGCUCGGCGAAACCCCCACCACCAAACCCAAGACCCAACAGUCGCUGACUCUAAAGCCCCCUCCGCCGCUGGGGCCACCACUGCCAAAAUGAUAGACGGUGGUGUUUAUUACUGCGCAUAGAAAGCGACCACCAGCCUCCAUGAUUCAGAAUUAAUUGGGACAAACAUUUUAUGGGUUGGGAUUCUCGCUGAUUUCAGAAUUGUUUCUAUGGUUUUUUUUUAAUUGCUAAUUGAGUAGACCUCUCCUUCAAUUCGCUUCUUCCAAGAACAAUAAGUGGAAGCCAGAGUAAAUGUCAAAGAAAAAGAAAGGGAGACAGCUCGAAAUACAAACUGAGAAUAAAAAUUAAGCUGUUGGGGCUCGCUUCAGUUGUUAGGUCUAGCAAUGCCUACUUUGAGACUGCUAGCACCCACUCACAAGCCAUUUCUAUUGAAAUCAAGUACAGUGGGGCACCCUCUUGAGCACACCAUUCAACUCUUAAAAGUAUCAGCUGAUACCAAGAACUUAAAGUUUGGUAAAAUGAUCCAUGCCCAUUUGAUCAUAACCAAUCAGGCCACCAAAGACAACAUAGUUCAAGUCAACUCUCUCAUCAAUCUUUAUGCAAAAUGUGAUCAAAUUAUGGUCGCCCGCAUACUAUUUGACGGAAUGCGCAAGCGAAAUGUAGUCUCUUGGGGUGCUUUGAUGGCAGGAUAUUUCCAUAAUGGGCUUGUGUUGGAGGUUCUUAGAUUGUUUAAGACUAUGAUUUCAGUGGAUUAUAUGCGUCCGAAUGAGUAUAUAUUUGCUACUAUUAUUUCUUCUUGUUCUGAUAGUGGACAGGUAGUAGAGGGUUGGCAGUGUCAUGGGUAUGCUUUGAAAUCUGGAUUGGUGUUUCAUCAGUAUGUAAAGAAUGCACUUAUUUGUAUGUACUCAAGGCGGUCAGAUGUGAAAGGGGCUAUGAGUGUUUGGUAUGAAGUGCCUGGAUUGGAUGUUUUUUCCUAUAAUAUAAUUAUAAAUGGACUUUUGGAAAAUGGGUAUCCAAGUGAGGCAUUGGAAGUUUUGGAUAGGAUGGUGGAUGAGUGCAUUGUGUGGGACAAUGUCACUUAUGUUACUGCUUUUGGCCUCUGCUCUCAUCUUAAAGAUCUGAGAUUGGGCUUGCAGGUUCACUGCCGAAUGUUCAGGACAGGGGCUGAGUAUGAUAGCUUUGUUAGCAGUGCAAUCAUAGAUAUGUAUGGAAAAUGCGGUAACAUCUUGAAUGCAAGGAAAGUUUUCAAUAGGCUGCAAACUAAGAAUGUGGUCUCAUGGACGGCAAUCUUGGCUGCUUACUCUCAAAAUGGGUGCUUUGAGGAAGCAUUGAAUUUCUUUCCAGAAAUGGAAGUUGACGGUCUGCUGCCUAAUGAGUAUACUUUUGCUGUAUUGCUGAACUCCUGUGCAGGUAUAUCUGCACUGGGACAUGGGAAGCUAUUACAUACACGUAUCAAGAAGUCAGGUUUUGAGGACCAUAUUAUUGUCGGAAAUGCUUUGAUUAAUAUGUAUUCAAAGAGUGGCAGCAUUGAAGCUGCACAUAAAGUGUUCUUGGAGAUGAUAUGUCGAGACUCAAUCACUUGGAGUGCAAUGAUAUGUGGACUAUCCCAUCAUGGGCUUGGUAGAGAAGCUCUAGUUGUGUUUCAAGAAAUGUUAGCUGCCAAAGAGUGUCCUCAUUAUGUAACUUUUGUUGGGGUUCUUUCUGCUUGUGCCCAUUUGGGUUCAGUGCAGGAAGGUUUCUACUAUUUGAAUCAGUUAAUGAAACAGACAGGCAUUGAACCUGGGGUGGAGCACUAUACUUGUAUUGUUGGGCUUCUGUGUAAGGCUGGACGACUUGAUGAAGCUGAAAAUUUUAUGAAGUCUACACCAGUUAAAUGGGAUGUUGUUGCUUGGCGAACUUUGCUCAGUGCUUGUCAUGUCCAUCAGAAUUAUGGUCUGGGGAAGAAGGUGGCUGAAUUAGUCUUACAGAUGGAUCCUGGUGAUGUGGGAACAUAUAUCCUGUUAUCUAACAUGUAUGCCAAGGCAAAGAGAUGGGAUGGGGUUGUGAAGAUUCGAAAAUUAAUGAGAGAAAGGAAUGUCAAGAAGGAACCUGGGGCAAGCUGGAUAGAGAUAAGAAAUAGCAUCCAUGUCUUUGUUUCAGAAGGCAAGACGCACCCAGAGUCGAAUCAGAUUUAUGAGAAGGUUCAGGAAUUAUUAACUAUGAUAAGACCAAUGGGGUAUGUGCCAGAUAUUGCUGCAGUAUUCCAUGAUGUUGAAGAUGAACAAAAACGAGAGUAUGUUAGUUAUCACAGUGAGAAGCUGGCAAUAGCAUAUGGCCUUAUGAAAACACCUUCCGGAGCACCUAUCCGUGUCAUUAAGAACCUUAGGAUGUGUGUUGAUUGUCAUUCUGCUGUGAAACUCAUCUCGAAGGUCACAAACAGGAUGAUAAUUGUUCGAGAUGCUAACCGUUUCCAUUGUUUUGGGGAUGGAGGUUGUUCCUGUGCAGAUUACUGGUGAUGAAAUUGCAUUGCUUUUGCAGCUCAAAGGUUGAAGGGGGCCAUCAUGUUGCAGACUGUCGGAUGAAGUAUGUUGCUGAAGUGCUAAGAAUGCAGCAUUGUCAUUUUAGAACCAUUUCACAUGUGAUGCACUGUGUUGCAUUAAUUUUUAAAUUGUGAUCUUGUCUGAAAGCUAAUUUUUAGUCAACAGUUGAUAAAGUCAAAUGAUCAAUUAUGGAGAUGGCUUGAAGAUGAUGAUGCUCUGGAGCGUCCUCUUAGCAGAGAGUAUGUAUGAUGAGUCUAAAAUCUGGGAAUGUCAUCCCCCUCAUAUUUUCUAGUCAUGUAUAUCUGGUACAUUGCACAUGUUAUGUUCACAUCAAUCCUUUUAUUUUGUAGGUGGUUCCUUUUGCCAUAAGGAGUGGCUGGUGUACAAUCCACUUGUUUAAGGAUGAGAACAAACCCUGCAUAAAAUUGGGUAUGCCUUUGAAUCUUUGAUUGUAAAUUCGAAUUUUAUCUUUCAAUUAAUUGAGAUAAUGCUUCCAAAUUUCCAAUUAUGUGAGCUUAGCAAUCUAACUUAAGUGAACUUAAAUAUAUUCCCAUUUUGUUGAAGUAGGCUCUAUUUCAUAGUUAGCAAAAGAGAAAAUCCUUAAAAUACACCAACAGAGUCGCACACACAUUAAGUAUUUGAAAAUUCUGGGUCCAAGUAAAACUUCUGCUUCAUUAAUAGUUUUUGAGAAGAAUAGAGACAAAGUGAGAUAGCAGUCCUAGACAUCAGAAAUAACAGCUCUCCACUUCUAGUCCAUUCCUCUUAUGUUUCUGUUGUAUGCUUUCUUCAAUUUUAAAAUAAAAUGAAUCAUAAAGAAGCAAUGCUGAACAUCACAACUCACCAAUAUCAUUGCUUCCACUACUUGUAGCUGGGAAUAGGAACACGACCUGAUUCUAUAUGCUUGAGAACCCAAAUAAGGAUCUCAUACUGUUGCUUCACCUCCUCAGUAGAUUUGCCACCCACAGCCUUGGCUAAACUUUGCCAAGGGUCCCGGUGUCCCUGUCAAACAGUUUUUUUUGGUUUGGAGCCCAUGAGCCAGAGCUCGACUCCUUGAGAGAGCUUGAUGCUAUCCCACACAGAAUAUGGCAGGCUACAGGGACUGGUGGGGUUUUCUAUUUUUGGAUCAGAUUCAGAAUAUUUAAUAUCUGAAUCUGGUCCAUUGUCAUAUGGUGCCAAGGGGCUGGAGGGGUUUCCUAUUUUUGGAUCAAAUUGAAUGAUAAGUCCAUUUAUUGAGAAUCCUAGUUUUCCCCACAGAAUUGUGUUGCUCUAUAAUCAUCUACAAUAUAGUGCCUUUGCUCCAUUCUUUUUCCCCUCAUGUAAAGAAGUUUUGGCUUAUUAUUCUGAUGCAGGAUUGUGUUCCAUACAGAUUUUUCUGGUAUAUCAUAAGCCAUACCUUCACCCAAGGUGAUUCAGCAAGUUAUCUUGUUCACUUUACUUUUAUUGACCAGGAGGAAACCCACUUCUCUACUUUUGGUUUUCAGGGUGAAGUAACCAUAUUUUUCUUAUCUCAGGUUUCCAAAGAUGAACAUGGAACGGUUGAUGAGUAAGUAAUAAAGAACAAAAUAAACUUUAUGUUGUUUGAUUUUUCAUGAAGUGCAUUUCCUAUUAGAUUUCAGCCUCAUUUGGAAUAGCUUCUUGUUUUAGGCUUUGAGUGGAAGCUAAAGCCGAAGCCAAAGACAAUUUUUAAGGGACAAUAUUGAUAUUGUAAAAGGUAUAUUAAACAUGAAAUAACUAAUUAUAUAAGCUAAAAUAAAGUUUCUACAAGAAGUAACAUUUUUUUCUGGCUUUCAUAUUAAGCUCAUUUUUAAGUCAUAAGUUCUUUAAACAAAAUUAAUCAAUUGGAUAUAAAAGCUCUUAUUGAGCUUAAAAAAGGAGUUUUAGCUUCUCAAAAAUCAAACUAAACAUGACCUUACUUUAUUAAACAUGCAGGAACAAAGGUAGGCGGCUUGAGUUGUGUCCAAACUUUCUUAUUGAUUCCAUCCAUUUGAUUUUGGUUAUGAAUCUUAUGAUAAGGUGGGUGAUACAUUUAGAUUUUUAUUUUUUAUAUGCCUAAUAAGUUCCCUCCUUUUUGUGUUUUUAAUUAAAAAACUUGAAAUAUCACUUGUGGAGGAAUGAAUUCAUAAAUAACAAUUAAAAUAUUCUUCUUAGUUUACCUUAGUAUUAAUCUUUACAUGUGGAUGCAUGAAUUCAUAAACAAGUAAGAUAUUUUUUUACUUUACCUUGGUUUUACAAGUGCGAAACCCUCCAUAACACAUGCAUGUCCUUCUAGCUUUGUGCUAGAGAUUUUGAAUUUCGAGGGCAACAAAGGAAGAGAUCAGAAGAUUAUUUUCCAAGAAGCUAAUUUUUUUUAUUUUAAAUCAUGAUGCACUUUAAUAUAUUUAUAAGCAUGAAAAUAAAUUGUAACAUUUUUCAAUUUUUUUAAUUUUACAAAGUUUAUUGAUAAUUUUACAUUUAUUGUAAUAUUAUAAUUUAUUUGUAAAUUUAGAACAUUUAUAACUUCUUAAUUCAUUGGUGAAUUCAUAAUUUUUGUUUGUAACCUUAUAAUUUAUUGUAAAUUUACAACUUUUAUAAUUUUACAAUUCAUUAGUGUCUUUAUAACUUUCUUUGUAACUUUAUAAUUCACUUACGUAUUACAAUGUCUAUGAUUAAUUAACUUAUUUAUAUGUUAUGAACCAUCCAUAUUUCAAAGUCAAUUUUGUCUUUUCUUAGUAAGUUAAGAUGAGGACAUGUAACACGGGAUCUUUAUGGGAUUUCUACAUCUUUAGUAAGUUUAUUCCAAAUAAACUUGUCAAUUGGACUUAUAUUUAAAACAAAUUGUAAUUUCACCCAAAGAUAAGAUCACCUCUAUCUUAGUCUCUUAUAGUUUGUUUUAAAUAUAGUUGCAAUUGAUAAAUUUAUUUGGAAUAAACUUACUACAAAUUGGAGAUCCUAUAAAGGUCUCAUGCUACAUGUCUUCACCUUAACUUAUUGAGAAGUGACAAUUGACUUUGAAAUAUAAAGAGUUUUUAAAAUACAAAUAAGUUAAUUAAUCAUAUGUAUUUACUUUACAAGUUAAAUUAUUAUAAUAUACAAUAAAUUGUAAUGGUUGUAAAUUUACAUCGAAUUAGUGUAAGGUUAAAAAAAAAAGUUGUAAAAGAUACUAAUGGGUUGUAAAGUUAUAGAUUUACGAUAAAUAGUAAGAUUACAAACAAAAUUUGUAAAGUGACAAAUGAAUUGUGAAGUUACAAACACUGUUAAUUUACAAAUAAAAUAUAAUGUUACCAUAGGAGUAAAGUUAGCAAUAAACUUUGUAAAGUUCCAAAAGUUGACAAAAUAUCGUAAUUUAUUUUUAUGAUUAUAAAUAGAAAAAAGUGCAUCAUGAUUAAAUAAAUAAAUAAAUCAAUUUGUUAGAAGAUACUCUUUCUAUCUUUUCCUUUGUCUCUCUCAAAAUUUUAAAUUUUAGCAUAAAGCUAAAAGGACAUGUAUGUGAGAUUAUAGAGGGUUUAGCACUUGGAACCCUAAGUGAGGUAAAAAAAAUAUAUAUUUGACUUCUUGUUUAUGAAUUCAUGCAUCCACAUGUGAAGAUCAAUGAAUGAUUAUUACGAAAAAUAUUUGUCAUUGGCUUUCUAGGGUGUACGAUUCUUUCGAUCUUUGACUUAUCCUCAAAGCCAAUUAGAUACAAUUUAUGUACUCAUUUUUGCCAAAUAUUUCUCAAACACUUUUUGACUCAGGUUUUGUUAAUGGAUUGGCAACAUUAUCAACAGAAGUUAUCUUUGUAAUUUACUAUAUCUCCUAUCUUGGAAAUUUCCCUUAUCAAAUGAAAUUUCCUUUUGGUAUGCUUGUCUUUUGGCAAGCUUUAGACUCUUUAGCUUGUAUAAUAGCACUAUUAUUAUCACAAAAUCAUGUGAUAAAAGAUUCAACUAUAUGAACAACAUGAAAAGCAUGUAUGAUAAAUUAACUUAAUGACUUAAUAACUUAAUUUAAGUCCUUAGGUAGAUUAAUCGUGUUUGAUAAAAUAAUUUAAUAUUACUAUUUAAAGAUGAAAACAACUUUAAGUUUUAAAUUAAAAUAGUUAACUUAUUUUUAAUUUCAAAUCUUUUUUGUAUCAUUUGCCUAUAUUUAAUGAAAUAUAUUUUACAACCAUGACUUUACAUCCAUGAUACAUUUUUUGUAGUUAUUUUUUUAUUAUUAUCUUGUAUAUCUACAAUAUUUUAAAUAUGGAUAUUUAACAUAAAAAAAAUUAUUGAUUAAUAUUAAUAAAAAUAUAUAUUAGUUAAGAUUAAUAAGGGUAAAUAUGUGAAUUUGAUCAUUUAGAAUUAAUUUUUAAAACUCAAAGUAGUUUUUUUAAAAAAAAGAGCAUCUUUACAAAAUAACUCAAAUAACGCUCUUCUAUUUUAAAUUUUUAAAAAUAAAAACAUAGAAAAUAGCACUCUUCUAAAACAAUAUUUAUACUUGAGCAAUUUUUUAAAACCUAUAGAGUUAAUUUCAUUCACAACCCUUGAGGUUUAUUGUAAAUACACUAAGCCGUCAUUAGUUUCAAAUGUUAUCAAUUAGCACAUUUAUAAAUGUAUUUCAUAUAUAAAAUUAUUUUUUUUUAAAUAAAAUUUAUUUCUCAGAGAAUUUAUAAACAUCCACCUAAAUCUUUUUACAUAAAAUCUAGUUAAAAUAAAUAAAUUUUAUAAAAGAAUAAGUUUAUAAGGAUGCUAAUAUAUAUGUCUUUAUGAUUGUGAUAUAGUCUAGGACAUGCUCUAUGAUAUUUUCUAAAUGAAUAAAAUACAUAAUAUUAGUUUCAAAUUAUAACAUUAAUAGAGUAAUAGACUAAAAAAACUAUUAUAAUUGCAAUCUCAUGAAUUGUAUCAUUCACAUUUGAAAUUCAUUUUAGAGUUUCUCAAUUUCAUUAGUAUUAGCUUUGCUCUCCUCUUCAAAUGUUUUUUUUUUUUUUUUGCUAAAUGGUUUAUCUUUUUUAUAACAUAUUUACAAACCCCACUGCGUAGGGAUGGUAAUAGGGUGGAUUUUUACGAUUACCUUCCUUGCCCCUAAUAGGAUAUGUUUAGGGUUAAAAUCAAAAGGUUUGAAAUUUUUUCUUUUCAAUUUUUUUUAGAGCUAGGAUGAGUUUAGGGUGAGGUACGGGGGUUGUGUGGUAUGAAAAAUUCUCAUACACACCUCACUUUGUCUGAUUUAAAUUUUUUAUUAGGACAAAGUCAAGAUAGGAGCAACUAGUUUUGAUCCUGCUCUAUUACCAUCCAUAUUACGUAGUCUAUGCAUGUGACCCUUUACCUCCUCUCCAGGGAUACAUGAAUUAGAAUAUAACUAAAAUUAAUUAAUGUAUCAAAAUAUACCAUACACUUGUGCAAAGGUAUUAUUUGGACUUGUACUUGUAGAUUUUGAAUUUGAACUCUCAAUCUUUUUAUUUUUUUCUUAUAAAUAAAAAAAUUGUUAAUAAUAAUAAAAUGAAGUUACGAAUUGAAAUAUUUUUAUGUAAGAAUAUCAAGAAUUCACCACAACUUCAAAACAUUGUUGACUCUUAUCAUGCUUUUUGGUGUGGACUUGAAUAUAUAGACUCGACCCUACCUACUUCUAAAUUAUUUGCACAAUUAUGCAAAUGUGUCUUACAUGUUUAGUUGCAUAUGAAUUGGUUAUCAAAUAUACAACUAAAAGUAAUUAGGUUUGAAUUAAACAUAAUUAAUUACCAAUUCAUAUCGAACAACAGUUAUACUUCAUCUACCUAGUGUAGAUGGAAACACUUGUUUCCAUCCUAUUGAUAGCAUUUAAUACACUUAUAAAAUAUUAUGUAAAUAAUAUAAUGAGCAAUUAAUUUAAAUCAUACAUUAAUAAAUAGUAUAAUGAAAAUUUAAUUUAGAUUAGAUGAAUGUUGUUAGGAAUAAGUUACACUUUUCACUUUAAUAAGUCACAAAGCAAAUAUCAUACAUGAAUAAAGAUAACUUAGGUUAGUAUAAAAGUAGGAAAUAGUCUCCAUAAUUAUUUCAGAGGAUGACCACCACUUUCCCUUGUACAUCCUAUAAAAGCUCUCUUAGGCAAGGCAUUUCCUCUGAAUUUCAUGUCCAAUAAAGGAUAAAUUAGAUCUCAUAACCUAGUCUACAAACCAAAGGAUUUACUGCAUCUCUAACCAUGUGACUAUUGAUUAUGAAUGAAUGCCCUAUGGAGCCAACACAUUGGCCAUUCGUUAGAAGAAUGGAUAUGUAACCAGUACAAUAUAAUAUUAGAAUGUACAUAUAAAGGCAAGUUAGAAAGUCUCUGAUAUAAAGCAAAUGAAGAAAAGACCUCUCACCCUUGAUUAGAGAAAUGUAAGACUCAUUGAUCACCCCAUCAAUGAUUCUUUAGAGUACCAUAGAGCUCUCUAACACUCGCAGAUUAGAAGAAUAGCGAAGGUCAAGGGCAUGGAUUAUGAGGUAAGCUAAGAGACGACAUGCAUCUAUAUCAUAAACAAAAUCCCUAUUAAAUCGUUAAGUAGAAUACUCAAAUCUUGCCUCUCUUUCCUUUGAAUUUUCUUUUCCUGUCUUUCAUUUUUCUUCUCAAUUGGUUUUUGGGCUGGCUUUGAAACUAGUGAUGUGGCUACAAGAGCUUAAGGUACUUGCUUGGCUUGUGGUCUAUCCUCAUUCUUUUUAUUGUGAGCUUCUUGCAAUGCUUGCUUUUGUUUUGUGACUUUGCAAGGAGGGUUACCAAUGACUACCCCACCACUACUCUAGAUUUGGUGCUAACUCUUCCUCCUUUUUUAGUCAUGGGUAUCAUAAUCAAAAGAGGUAUCACCAUCAUUCUAUCGAACUACUUUCCUUUUUAGUCCAACACUCACCCUAUAAUUUCCCAAAGAAAAUAGAAUUCACAUAUAUGCCAUUAACACCAAUCAAUACUAACACCCUAAACAAUUAUAAAAUAACCUAAAAGAACUAAAAUGUACAAGUGUCAAAAUAACAAAAUGAAUUAGUCCAACACUUUUUUAAUAGACCAAGAAAAUGCAAUGUCCAUGUAAACUUUAUCCUAAUUGUCAAUCCAUCAUUUGUUAUGCCAAAAAACUCAUGUAUUCAAGCAUUGAAAAGUGUCUAAUUGCAACAAAGAAUCCAAACACGGGUUUCCCAAAAUCUAGGGUUUCCAAGAAAUCAAUGGGACUCUAAGAAAGCAAAAUAGAGUGCAUUCUAUCAAAUGAAAAUACAAAAUGGCCUAACAAAGCAUCAUUGAAGUUAAAAAUCACUUUCUAGCAUGUUUUUGAGCAAGCUAUUACUCCAAAACCCAAUGUAUUGCAAAUAUGAAAAAUUAGAAUGGUAGAAAUUGGGUAGAAAGACUAAGAAUACCUUUGAAGUAACAAUCACUCAAUGAGAAUUCUAUAAGUUUAAAAUAGUGAAGGUGGUAAUUGUUGGUCAUCGCAAACCUAAAAUGGGACUGAGUUUCAAAUGAGAAUGGAAUAGAUUUACAAAAGGAGUCUUGAAUUUACUCUUCAAAAUUCAAAUUGAUUAAGUUUCAAUAUAAUUUAUAUUGAAAAUUUUGAAAUGAUGAUAUCCACAACUAAGUUCUCAUUUUUCCCAAGGAAUUCAUGUGUUCUAAAGAGAAACCUAAAAGAUUUACCUUUUCUUGAGGUUUAUCCCUAGGAGCUUUACCAUAUCGUUAUCAUAUUAUUCUUACACUUUAAGCAACUUCAAGAAUCCUUGUUCAUGACUAUUUAUCAAUAAUGACUUCAUGUUUUUGCCAAAAAGUGAAAAAUUGUUAGGUGUUGAAGUUUGUUAAUCAAAACAACUAAUGAAGGACAAAUAAAAAUAAAAGAAGUGUUAUCCUAACUAAUAAAAAUCCUAAAACUAAUUAUGCAUCCCUAUUGGAUUUCAGCUUGUACUUCAACCAAUCAUAUAUUUCCUAUCAAGUGGAUGAAGACUCUUUUCUCGGGAUUAAAACUUCACAAAUGCUUCGCACUCACCUUGUAGUCAUUCCCUAUCUUAGGAUUAAGGAUUGUGAGUAACAAAUUUUAGGUUGAGCAUAGAAUUGGUUGAAGUUGAUAAAAUAUAAAAUAAAGAACCCAAAGGGUUUCCAUUUAUAUUUCUACCUAUUUUUAUCAUACUGCAUUUGUAAAUUGAAUAAAAUACAUCAAAAAGUUUUAAAACCCAACCUUUACCUAAUUAAAAACUUUAAUCUUUUUUUAUAUUAAUUGACCAAGUUCGAAGAAAAAGUACACCUAAUUAAAAUUUUGAAAAUUCAUCUGAGACUAAUAAUUAAUCUUAUUUGUUGUAACUAAUCUAAUAUGUUAAAGGUUACAUUACUUGAUAAAAGUCAGUUUAGUAAUUCCUUUUUAUAAUUCUAUGUUAUAUAAAGUAAAGUGUUGGAUAUCAUAACCUUUCUUAUAAACAUAAAUAUCUAUUCAUUGGAAUAUAAGUAUUUGGAAUAAAAAAGAAUCAAUCAGUUAUACAAUAAAUUAGCUAUUGAUUUUAAAUAAACUAACUAAAAUAACUAGUUAUUUUCUUAGUUUUUUGGGUGAUUGUAAAAGAGAAAGAAAACAAAAACAACUCAAAUUAUGGAGAAAAAGUCAAAUGAAGAUCAAAAUAAGGCAUCAAUGCAUAAAUUUAGAAUUUCUAAGUAAAAUUAAUGUUUUACUUCGAUAAUUUUAAAGUGAAGGAAGUCAUUUUGGCUUCACAAUUCAAAAUUACCAUCAUUUCAAUUUUAGUUUAAAAAUUUUGAACUUCGCACUCUCGUUUCAAUUUCAAUUAACUCGAUAAUGUCAUUUCGAAAAUUUUGAAACUAGUAUGAUGAGUUCAAAAUCAAUGAUCCUUUAUUCAUUUUCAUUUCAAGAAUUAUACAAAUAAACCCAAUUGAUUCAACUUUCAAUUUUCUUGUCACGUAACAUGCAUCUAUCAUGUUUCGAGUUUACAUUUCAUACUUCAAACCUAAAUAAGGAACAAAGAAACCUUAAGACACAAAUUAGUUUGCACGCAUUCCAUGCAUCUAAAAUUCAACAAAAUCGUUUUCAAUACGUUUGUUUUCAUUCAAAAAUUUCCAAGGUUAGAACUUAGAUGGUUGGAUUUUACUUAAAAAACAUAAUGCCACCCCUAUUCCUAUGCCCUUUAACAGGACUCUCCCCCUCAUUUUGGCAUUUCAAUCAAAGGCAUCAUUCACGGAUUGUUUUCAUUGUAGACAUCAAAGCACGUAGCGACCGUCUAAGGGAGAAUCGUAAGGGCAACGCCUACGCCUCUCGGUGGGUGUUACGGACACGUCUCUCGCUGUUUCUCUCUACUUCUCUACUCUUGUAAUUUUGCGCCACAUCCUUCAAUGCUGUUUCCUCACGUGGCACGACAAGACACGUGACAAGUAGUAGCAAGAAAAAUCCCACAUCCCCUGUAGCCAUAACAACCCUCCUUCCUUCGCUCCUUUGCUCCACCCUCUGGUCUCUAGGGUUUCGAUUACUUUACUUUCAACUCGACGACAUCUCCAGCGUCUUAUUCAAGGCCUACCGCCACACUCACUGCUGUUUUGGUAAGCUAUCUUCUGUUUGGUUUCCGAGAAAAUUCUGGAAAGACAGAGAAAAUGAAGUUUUUUUUUGGAUAACGUGGGUUGUAUAGUUGUGCUGUUUCCUCGAAACUUCAGUUUCUUUUUUCUUGUCUUUUUCUGUAAGUCUUUUAGCAACCAAGUUCUGCUUUUGAUGAACUGGCUCUGUUGUCUCUAGACUGGUGAGUUUGAUACUGAAAUUGUUUGUCUGCGGUUUGGGAAAUGAAAAGAAAUUAGGAUUUCUUUUUUCGAAUCGUAAACUGGCAUUAUGAAAAGCGACCCCUCCACUUGAACGAAAAUAGUGCCAACUCUUAGGUUGGCUGGGUUCGAUCUUUAUCUUCUUUUCUAUUCCUCAGCAUCCAAAUCAAAAGUAAAAGAGAAUUUUUUUUUUUUCUAUGCGUCUGUGUGUUUGCCUGUUUCUGUUAGCAAUCAUAUUUGGUUUGAAGAUAGAUGGUUUCUAUUAGGGUUCAUGUUUUUUUCAAAUACCAGAAUGGGAUUAUAUAGAUUUUUCAGGAAGUAUUUUCCUUGAAAUGAACGGAGAGGUGAUUGGAUUUCUAUUCGAUAAGGUCUGAGGUUGUGAACUAUCUAGGUUUUGAUAGUUGACAACUUCGGUUUGGUAGUACAGAGAAACCAUGUUAUUGUUGUUUGUAGACUAGAUCCUCAAAUUUAUUGUAGAGAAGCUUCAUUAUUUGGUAAUGGUUAUUCAAGGGACCAUUGGAAUAAGGCAUGUGUUUUAGUAACACAACAAAGCAAAAGUUCUACUCCUUGAACAAGAACCAGGGUCUUCCCUUCCAUUUCUGGUGAAUCUUAAAUGCGCACGAUUAAUGCAUCUUUUUAAGUUAGGAAUUAGGAUUAAUGUUUUGUCCCAAUCGAGCCACAGAGGAUAUGAUCACCAUUUAAAUGUGAUGUUCUUUUUUUUAUCAUUUUUAUUUUGAAUAUAUAUUUUUUCAUAGCCUUAUUAAGGAUGUGAAAUUGAUUAUUGUUUGCUUGCUUGCCCUUUUCUCCACUAUAUCAUUUAAUAGGAAAAAAUGGCUGAGAAGAUUGGAGCAGCUCCGCCACCAGCUUCUUUUGAGUAUGAGCUUUUUGAAGGAGAUCCAGACCACCUUAGAACUGUUGCAGCUACAUCAACCCAGUUAAGCCCAUGGAUUGAUCCUGCCUCUUUGAAACUUAAGCACAGGAUUGGACGAGGCCUCUUUGGUGAUGUUUGGUUAGCAACACAUCAUCAGUCCGCAGAUGAUUAUGAUGAAUAUCAUGAAGUUGCUGUUAAGAUGUUACAUACGAUAAGGGAGGAUCACAUGCAAAUGUUUUUGGAUAAAUUUGCAGGGAUAUUUUUGAAAUGCCGACAACUAAAAGGUGUUUGUUGGUUGCAUGGUAUCUCAAUUAAGACAGGAAAGGUAAUUCUCCACAAUUAAGAGGUUGUUCAGGUAGUCUAGGAAAUGGACCACAUGAAGCCCCCAGUCAUAAUCCGGUUCUAUAGAAAACGAAAUGGAUGUUGGUCUAAGGCACAUUUGCACCUUGUAUUUUUUCUCACAUCUUGAACCUCUUGUUAUCAUUAUUUACGAAACAUAUUAUAAAUCAAAACUGAUCAUGUAAUGUUUAACCUGGUUUUUAGGUAUAUUUUGGGGUUUAUGGGUGUAUAUAUGCUUUCUAUCUUGAUAACGGGAAAUUUGACAUUCUGAAUUCUCUUCUUUCAUUUCUCAUUGUGAUUUCUGGACAGGUCUGCAUUGCUAUGAAAUUUUAUGAGGGAUCGGUGGGUGAUCGAAUGGCUCAUCUUAAAGGAGGCAAGCUUCCAUUGUCUGAUGUUUUAAGGUGAUGCUUUUGGGAGAUAUCUCCUCUUUCUGAAGCUUGCAAUUAGUGAAGAUGGAACAAAUCUUAUUCUGAAGAAAAUGUUGAUGCUUACAGGUAUGGAAUCGAGUUGGCUAAAGGAAUUAUGGAGUUGCACUCCACAGGGGUCCUGGUGCUAAACCUUAAGCCAUCUAACUUCCUGCUUAAUGAACAUGACCAAGUGGUUCUAGGAGAUAUGGGAAUCCCAUAUCUACUCCUUGGGAUUCCAUUGCCCAAUCCUGAUAUGGUUCUGAGACUUGGAACGCCAAAUUACAUGGCUCCAGAACAGUGGGAACCAGAAGUAAGAGGACCAAUAUCUUGUGAAACUGAUACAUGGGGUUUUGGCUGCAGCAUAGUGGAGAUGUUGACUGGUGUUCAACCCUGGUGUGGGAGAUCAAUUGAAGAAAUAUAUCAAUCAGUUGUUAUUAAGCAAGAAAAACCGCAUAUUCCAAGCGGCCUGCCGCCUGAAGUUGAGAAUGUUCUCAAUGGCUGCUUUGAGUAUGACCUCCGUAAUCGACCUUUAAUGGUAGAUAUUUUGCAAGCAUUCGAAAGGUAGUUUUCUUAUCUAUCAAUUCAUUUUCCUUUUAAUUUACUGAAAUAGAAAAAGGUCUUCCUGUGGUUAUUCAUAACACUUCUCUUGCACAAUAAGGUCUUCAUGAUCUGUUAUCCUCCUUGCUGGCUUUUUCAAUGGAUGCAAUCCCUUGAUCUGAGGAAAAAUUGAAUCUUUCUCUGAAAAAUCAAAGAAUUUUAUUGGAAAAAAAGAGGAAUAAAAAGCAUGAUCAAAAGGACAAGGGGUCCUCUAAAAGGAGAACCAAAGAAUGACAAACCUGACAAAGGCGCAAGAUUCAGAAACUGGAAAAACUUAGAACCAUUGAUGGGAUGCAACAAACUUGGGAACUCCUAAGCAUCAAGACUCUACAUUUAGCUAACACUUCAGCCUGUCUAUAGAAUCCAAGAAGCCUCUCCAACUACCCACCCUCAGAUUCACACUCUUAUCAUUACUUCUCCAAGUCCUCUCUACUUCAACAAUGAAAGAACCUCAAAACUUACAAGGAGCCUAGAUUUGGGCCUCUGUACCAAAGCCAUUUUCUGCUGGGAUAGAGAAUGUUAAAUAAUGUUGCUUGCAUGGUUCCUCCACAAAUCUCCAAUGGCUGAUUGCAUUGGGUUCCCCUGUGCCUACUGUUGAAAUCAACUUUGGUCUGUCCUUAGGGAGCUGGACUUUGUUCCUCACUUUAGAAUAGAGAAAAGCCUGACAAACAAACUCUUUGGUUUUAGAAAUCCAAAGAAAGAUGAAAUUGUAACCCUUUUCUCAGAUUCCUCAAUCUGGGUACAGAACAUAUCCCAAAUGUCAUAACAAGCACAAGCCCACCCUCUAUCUUCUGUCCCCAAGCCCCUAAAAGAUACUGCAACUGUGUGUGUCUGUGUGUUUUCUUUCUUUCUUUCUUUCUUCCAGAAAGAAAAAAAAGACCUCCUAGAAACCGCCCAAUCUGCACCAAUAAGGAAGACAAACCUUGGUACAACAUGUAACCACUAAGGCACCUUUACUCUCAACUUAUUUCAGAGAUGCUUCCAUCACCUUUUGAUAACUUCAGAAGGGGAUAGCAUUUAAAUGUACCACUUCUGAAUUUGCAAUAGCCAAGUACCAAUCCUUGGAUCUGUUUAGGGACCAAAAUGAUUUUGUCCAUUAAUGUUUGUCUUCCUACAUGCACUCCCCCACGACCCAGUCCGUCUUGUAAAGCUACUGUGGCCUUUGUGUACUUGAAGUGCUCCAUUUCAAUUUGUGGAGAGGAGAGUAACUGGAAGAAAAGACAAUGGAAAUUUAUUGUUGUAUUUAUAUUCCCAUAAAAUAAUGGAGUUAAGUUUUCGUUCGAGUCAAGAUUUAGAGUGUAUGUUGAGCUAGGAGGAAGGAUGUUGAUGAGGUAACCAGAAAGAUACAGGCUAUUAGUCUUAGAAAUCUAGCUUUAAUCACUAUUUAAAGACUUCUCUUUAAUCAAUAGGAUCCAGGCUGGUGUAGCAGCUUAAGGAUCUUGUUUUGAUGGAGAAAAGAAAAAGGUCCAAUCUGGAAGAAAAGAAAAAAAUUGUAAAUUCCCUCUAUUUUGUGCUUCACCUGAUAUAUUAAGUUGACUCCUUGAGAGGGGGGAUCGGGUGCAAGAUAAUUCAUCAAUUUUAGUUGGUCGAUAGCUAUUAUUGGCAUCAUUGGAAGGGAAAAGAAUGUUCACCCAACAUUAUUCCUCAAAACCUGAAUUGUACCAUCCAAUAAAAAAAUGAUGAAAAAAAAAAAUCUCACAUGUGAUGCAACUUGGGCAGGUUGGAGGGCAAAUAAAGGUUAAUUAGAAAUAUUGGUUAGUUUGAAUGUGCACCUUUUUGAGUAAGAUCUUAAGAUAUCAAGGAUUCUUAAAUCUUGAGAUAUCCCUAUUUGUCUUGUUUGUGUUAUAAGGCAUUGUGAUGCUGUCAAUUGAUUGGACUUUAAGGGCAUUUCUUUCAGCCACUUUUGCAGCUCCUCUCUAGUUCAACCUUUUCUCCCUCUAUUUUUAGUAUUUUUUUUUUUUUUUUUGUCUUUAAGAAGUGAAAAUUGUAUGAUAUUUUAUUGUUAAAUUACAAAAUAUUUUAUUGAUUUGGUGAUCUUUAUAUGUCACAUUUGACACUUCCUUCAGUUGUAUGAAUUUUAUUUAUAAAAUUUUAUCUUUAGAUGAGGUAUCACUCUUUUAUUAAGGUUUCCAAAGUUUAAUUUAAAGUUUUUCCUUGGUAUGGUGCAUUAUUGUCAAUUCUUGUGAAUUGAAAUCUAUAUCAAGAAUUCUAUGUUCAUGUCCUUGUUAUUUUGAGCCCUUCAUGUCUCCAAAAUAUUAAAAUUCAAGAGCUUGAUAUCUGUUAUUUGUCAUGCUAUGACAGGAGUUUGUAGAGUGUCAUCAGAUAUUAAGCUUAGAAACAUCUGGAUGAUUGUUGAGUUGUAGUAGGUCGUAUAUUAGUUAAUUUUUUUUAUCUUAGUUAUGGGUGUCCUAGGAAUGUGGUGUUUGCUGAUCUAGAGAGAAUUUUUUGUAUAUGUACUUCACAGCUUAAUACAAGUAUAUAUAAGAAAAGGGGAAAAACCUUACAAGGAAUUGUAAAAAGUGAAUCUCUAAAAUUUGUUCCUAAUUUCUAACAAUCAUAAUAAUCAAAUUCCUAAAAUAAAGAUGAUUACAAAUCUUCUCCUCAGAAAUCAUAAUAAUGAACCCCUAAAACAAAGGGGUUAAACAUGAAAGCUAAUGUAGAAAGUCUUAGGUUGGAGACCUCUAAAUAUAUAAUUAAUACUUGUCAACUCCCCCUUAAGCUAGAGCAUAUAUGUCUCCAAUGCACAGCUUGUCUAGUGUCACUUUUAAAGUCCCAUUUGACUUGUCCCUUGUUAAAAUAUAUGUAAACUAAUUCUGUCUUCUGUCAAAAUUUCCUUGAUAAAGUAUCUAUCCACUUCAACAUGUUUAGUACAAGUUGUUAAUGACAAGUUGUUUAGCAUAUAUGUCUCAAUGCUGAACUGGAUUGUGGACAGUGCUGAUGACAACUUGUUAUUACAGAAAAACUUCAUUGGAUCCUUAGAAGCUUGACUCCUUUAAUAGGGCCCUCAACGAUAACAUCUCAUCUAUACUAUAAGCCAUGACUCUAAAUUUUGCUUCAUCUCUUGAUCUAGCCACAAAAGAUUGUUUCUUGCUAUACUACAUGAUUAAAUUUCCUCCCACAAAUAUGCAAUACUGUGAAGUUGGUCUUCUAUGUAUUCCAAACCCUGCCCAAUCAGAUAUCCCAUUACUUUCAAAUGACCAUUACUUUCCUCCCACAAAGAGCAGAUUUUAAAUACCUACAAAUCCUAUGUAAAAUCAACUUGUGUUUUUCACAAGGAGCAUGCAUAAGCAGGCUAACCACACUCACUGCAUUGGCUUUGCUAGGGAAAGUAUGACGAGAAUGAGCCAAGUAUAUUAGUUUCCCGACCAAUCUUUGGUUUCUUUCUUUGUCUACUGGUAUACCAUUUGUGCCUUCACCCAACUAAGUAUCAACAAGUUUACAAGCUGGCAUUUCACUUUCAUCAAGUAAGUUCAGAAUACAUUUCCUUUCAAGAAGCAUCACUAGCAUCAAAUGUGUAUGAGCCACAACAUCCAAGAUAUCAUGUGUUGUAGGAAGUCAGAGAAAAGUGGCACUAAUAUUUGAAGCAAUCGAGUUGAGUAGCCAUGACAUAAGAUUAGCAUCCUCCUUGAUCCAAUUAGAGAAGAAAGGAUCGGAAAUAGCUGGCUAUUUUGUCUCUCAUAUCAAGCAUCCCAGCUUCCUUUUUCCUGUAAUUUACAGCUUCACAAACUAGGAUCAGGUUGCAUAAUCUGUCCCAUCAAGUUUGCUAGAAGUCAUUUGAACAUUCGUGUUAUCAUGUUGAACCAUCACAGCUGAAGGAAUGAGUGGUGCUGUACCAGAAACCAAAAGUUUCUUAACACCAGUUCAGACUUGAUUCUUUGAGUGAUGGUAGUUGCAAACUCAAACAGCAGGGAUAGGAGGCUAAUGGGAGUAUAUUAGCAGUAAUAGUUUACAGCUAAUGAGCAUAGAAAUUGCUUUGAUACCAUGCUGAUUUAGAGAGAUUUUUUGGUGUAUCUACUUCACAGCUUGUACAAGUAUAUAUAAGAAAAUGAAGAACUACUGUAAGGAAGAAUAUAAAAUAAAUCCCUACAGUCUGCUCCUAACUUAUAAUAAUCAUAGCAAUCAAAUUCCUAAAAUAAAGGAGCUAAAUAUGACAGCUAAAAAUUAGCUCCUUAUAGAAAUCAUUAUAAUCUACCUCUAAAGUGAAGGGGUCAAAUAUGAAAGUUAAGAAUGUGCAAGUUUAUUGAAGAACUAAGAGAAGUUUAGUCUCCCUUUGUAAGUUUAGAGAGUUCCAGGCCAAUACAUGAAGGCCUUGCUUGUGUGCAUCUGGAAAGAAAGUAGUAAUUUCUCUCUUCUUACCAGUGUUUUCUGGUGUUUGGAUGUGCUAGUCUGUUAGAUUUGGACUAUAAUUUAGAGCUUCUCAGUGGAACCAGAGUUUAGCAGUAAUCACCUUCUCAAUCCAACUCUGCCCAACCUUCAUGACCUGUUUUUUGAACUUGUCACAAUUUCAGCUCCUUUUCAUCUAUAAAAGUUAGUUGGCUCAUAGUCAUGUAUAACCUAUUCACUCCAAUUUUUUAUAUGAAUCGACAGAACUGGAAAUAUAUUUUCCCAAUAAAAGAAGUCUGAUAAAUGAGAAAUAGAAAGAAAUAGUGUCAAAUACUCAUUCCUUGACAUCGCAAUAUAAGAUUAGAUUUAGAUAAUAUAUUUAUUUUAGUUUAUGCACUACCUUAGCUAAUAAAGUACAGAUAGGGCUAUAACCUUUUAUUCUCUUUUGAUAACUUGUAAACCUCCCUAUAGUGUCCUGUAAACAGGACUCUAUAUUACCAAAAGGUUGUAAGUUUUCAUCUUUCAUGAAGAAAAAUAAGAUAGAUAAAACUAUGUAGUUGCACAAGUUCAAGUAUGUACCUGUUUCCUAUAAUUGUAGAUAUAUUAUGAGUUUGUGCAAUGCGCUAAAUACAUCCAUUAGAUUCCAAGUGCCAACUUAUUGAAUCUCUACAUACCUUCAAAUUUUAAAAAGAAGUGUAAGAGUUAGGCUUUUCUUUCUUGCAUGCUUUCUUUUUUUUUUUUUCUAUUUUUAAUUUCAGAGACAAAAAGGUGGUAAUACAUUUCAGAUUUCAAGCUUCAUAGGGAUAUUGUCUUUUCUAAUUACAGCAAAAGGAUCUUUGAAUAUUUUUUUCAAAUAUCAAACCAGCUCCAGAUUCCUAUCAGUCUGAACUUACUGCUAUUGCAGUACUUCUAGUUUGAACUAGUAACCUGGUCAGUAGAGGACAGAACUAAAGAAUUUUGUCAUUCUACAUUAUUUUUGAGGUUCUAAGAGAAACUCUGUUCAAUCUGCACUGUUUUUAACAACUGAUUGAUUUGCGACUGAACUUGCAGCUCACAGAAUGCCGUUUACAGUGAUGGAGGAUGGAUUGGUCUAGAAAGCAGAACAUGUACAGAGAGAUCAAAUAGCCGUGGCUACACAUCCUGGUUCCUCUCAAAGGACUCUCUCCAUGUGGGUGACAUAGUUCGUUCUAGAAAGCCACUAAAUGCAUGUAAACCUCAAAUCAUGGAUGUUCCAGAAGGGACUGUGGUUGGUUUCGAUGGUGACAAUGAUCGAGAUGGUUUUGUUCUGGUGAAAAUCCGUGGAAAACACAACCCUUUAAGAGUGCAUGUGUCAACACUUGAAAGGGUCACAUCUGGCUUGGUAGUGACAGAUUGGGUGCGCUUGAAAGAGCCAAACAGAAAGCACUCAACUGUUGGUAUUCUACAUUCUGUGCAGCGUGAUGGAAGUGUAGCUGUUGGAUUUCUAGGGCUUGAGACUCUCUGGAGAGGGCAUUCCUCUGAGCUUCAAAUGGCAGAAACUUAUUAUGUGGGACAGUUCGUGAGGCUGAAGACAAAUGUGUUUACCCCCAGGUUUGAUUGGCCUCGUAAAAAGGGUGGAGCAUGGGUUACUGGGAGGAUUGCACAAGUCCUUCCAAAUGGGUGUCUUGUCGUAAGGUUCCCAGGGAGGUUUGUGUUUGGGGUUGAAUCAAACAGCUUCUUGGCUGAUCCAGCUGAAGUGGAACUAGUGUCCUUUGAUAAGUGUCAUGGUGUGGUGGAGAAGUACCAUCAUAUUGAGGAUUUUCACUGGGCUGUAAGGCCUUUGGUAAUUGCAUUUGGUGUAUUUACAACCUUGAAGCUUGGAGUCUUUGUUGGUGGAAAUGUGUGUGUAAGAAUGAGGAAGAGCCCAAGAAAUCUGACCCCAAAUGAUGGCCAGUGUCAGGAUGGCCAAGCUGGUGGCAAUCCAGCAUGGAUUCCUCCCACAGUUGCUAACAUCCUUUUCCGAGAAGGUCCUCCCACAGCUACUGCUAGGUAACUCAUCCCUCUUUAUUUGGCUAUGGCUAAAUUCUCAAAAGUCUACAACAUAGAAGGUGAACUGUAUAUAACUACCAGACAGACCUGUAAAUAUGUAUACCUUAUGUGAUGAUGUUUGGAAGCUUUCUAUUUUGGGUUCAUUUUCUAAAGUCAUCCAUCUCUUCAUUGAGGAUGUUCAUUCUAUUUUCCAGUAAUGGAAACUGGAAAGUAGGCUUUGGUUGAUGGAUGUGGACAAGCUUGGUCUUGUUUAGUUCUUUCCUCAAGCAUUGUAUAUGCUCUUAUCAGAAGGGGUGAGAUUUAUUACAUUUUUUAGAUGGGAGCCUUUUUAAAAACAAUUAUCAAAAUAUAGAAUUUUAGAACAGGUUUUAAAGCAAUUUUUAAUUGUUUUGAAGAAUUUUGUUUAGAACUUAUAUUUAUUUUUUCCAUGAAAGUAUUAUGUAUUUAUGAAUAAUAUAAAAGUUUUCAAAGUAUUUUUGAUAUUUUUAAUAUUUGCCUAAAAGUUAAAAACACCAUAUAAAAAUUAAAUGUAAACACCUAAAAUUUGUUCUAAAAAGUAAUUUGUUUUUUGUAAUAAAUUCUCAAAAAGUCAUUUUUUAAGAUAAGUUUUUGAUGUUUUGUGAAUUAGAAAUCUGUUUUUGAAGGACAAUUUCAAAUAAAGCCUAAAAACAAUUUUUGUCAAAAGUUUCAUUGGAAAUAUAAGGGCCUUUGGGCAUGUUUUUCAAUUUUUUUUUUUUUAAAAAGAAAACUGUUUUUAAAUUAAAGAAUAAAAAACAAUUUUUAAAAAUAAGUUUCAGGAAAUAUGUCCAAUUGAACUCAUAUUUUCUUUUUAUUUUUAAAAAUUAAUUUCAAAAAAUAACAAUAAAAAAAUUUUGAAAACGUCUUUUUUUUUGUUUUUAAAAGUAAAAAAUUAUUUUUGAAUCAUAUUACCAAACUGACUUUAAAAUGUUUUUAACCUUUUUUUUAGGUUUUCAAGUAUAUUUUUAAAAUAAUUAUUAUUUUUAGUACUUUAUUUUUAAACAUUCUUUAUAAUUAUAUAAUUAUUUUGUAAAACAAUCUUUUAAAAACAACGUAAAAAAAAAAAAAAAAAGAUAUUAUUUAAAAUUACAAUUAUUUUUUGUUUUUAAAAAUAAAAAUUUAUUUUUUAUUUUUUAAUUGAUUAAUACGUUUUUCUAUUUUUUUUAUAAAAAAAAAAAACAGAUAUCAAAUAAGGUUUUAGACCCUCUUAAUCCACGUUACACGUUGCAGUUUUUCCAAGUAAAUUCUCUUACACACAAAAUGAAAGUCCAGAAGAUGAAUUUUUUCUUUCAUAAAUUGUAGGAACGCCGUUAUUGAACCGUAGACUUGCUUGGUUGCAGGGAAAAUGCUUGACUUGAACCAAUAAAAUGGGUCGGAUUGAAGAAUCAUAUCCGACAACAAAUGUAAUCUUUAUUGGGUUAGCCCAUAGUUUGAGGCCCCAUAAGAAAUUUUCAUGACCAAAUUACCCCUAUCUUUUCCUAUAAAUUCUUGGCUCCAUUUACAAGGUUCAUGGUGGAAGAAAAAUUGAGAGACUGCCAGAGAAAACCAUCGAAGUACGGAGCUCAUAAACAAGACAAAAAUGAAGGGAACGUUAUUUCAACCCCUCUUGUAAGCUCAGUUCGUCCCAUUCUUCUUCUUCUCUUCUUUCUUCCUCUUUUCUUGACAAACAAACAAAUAUUUGGAGUGCACUAAAACUCUCUUGUUUGGUUGCCGAGAAAAUAAAGUAACUAGAGCAAAUGUCCCAACCCCAUUUGGUUUUAAGUCCUAAACUUGCUUUUCUUCCAUUUUCUUGCAAACCAAACUGCCAACUUCUUGCAGGAAAUACAUUCAUGAAGAUGAUGGUAACGAAGAAGAGGAAGAAAGCAAAGAAAAAUCAGUGGCAGGAGAAGAAACUGAAGUAGGUGAAUUUGAUGACAUAAUAGAGUCAGUCCAGUACAAGAACCUCCGGAAAGGAGAAACAACCAAACAAGGUAUUAGCCCAGAAACUUUCUCCCCAAUUUUCCUGGGAAGUUAACUUUUCCGAGAAAAAGCAAGUUUCUUGGAAGAAAAAUAGUUAGUUUUGCGCAAAACCAAGAAAUCAAUUCAUGCAUUCCUGGUUCUUUACAAGUUACAAUCCAUAUAACGGUGACUCGUUUUGACUCGGUUAAACAACUCGGAGGUGAAUCGUUCGAGUUGGACCACUUCCUCAAAUGGCUUUAGUGCACUUUUCCUGUUUUAGGCUGUUCAAUUUAGGUGGUUUUCGUAGAAACGAGGUGGAAUCACUGGAAUGCUACAAAUUGGGCCUCCCUAGUAUGGGCCGUAUGGUUGGCCUAUGUUAUUAUGGGCCCCCAACCCAACUUCCAUGAGCUGAGAAUUUGUAUGUUUUAUCAGGAGACGAUCUAUCCUUGGAGAAACAUGGGCUUUGGUUGCAAGAACAGAAGUCCAGAGUAGCAAGGCUUCAGAAACACCUCAAAUCAAGAUGGACUCUGGAGGAUCUCAUUCAGCAGCAUCUCCACAUGUACCAUGCCCACUUCAACCGGGCCUUGGUCUCAGCCCGUCUCCAAGACGUGGCCCAACUCCUCAUGCCCCAAUGGGCUCCACCUCAUGAGCUCGCCUCACUAGCCUGGCUCGGCGACUGGCGGCCCUCCGCAAUUCUGGGCCUAAUCUGGGCCCGGGCCCGCACCUCACCCUCGCUGUCGGGGUCGGAUCCGGCCAUCCAGCGCCUCUUGCCGCAGCUGAUCCACGAGCUACGCAUCGAGGAGACGGUGGUGGAGGAGGAGAUGGCGGAGAUCCAAGCCACCUGUGUCCUCCACCUCCCUUUCGCUCCCAUGAACCACCGUACGGGUGGCGCUGCAUUGCGCUGCAUUCAGUCGGAGUUCAAGAAGAUCCACCAAGUGAUCGUUAAGGCCCAAAGCCUCAGGUCCAUUUUCACUCUCUCUUCAACCUUAACCAACAUAACAGACAAUGUAACUGUAAUAACUGUGAUAACUGUAAUGACUGCCUGAAAUGAAAAUGAUGACAGGUUCAAGGCAUUGGAGAUGGUGGUGAACAAUGUAUUGAGCCAAACCGACGCGGCGGAGUUCUUGGUAGCAUUUGCCGGAAUUCAGAAGUCCAUCCACCAGUUCGCGGCGCAUCAAAGGCUCCGAAAGGGUCAACUGUCGGUGUGUGUGAAGGCGGUGGGAAAUAGUCAGAGCUGAGUGAUAGGAGAGUGUAGGUAUUACAAGGCACUCAAGUUUUAAAAAGUUGCAGUAGGUGAUGACUUUGGAAUUUUUUGUGGGAACUAAUAAUACUAUCAGGCAUGAAUUUUUUCCCCCCUUUUUAAUUGCACCCUUAAAUGCUCACUUGGAUAAGGAAGUUUUUUUAUUUUUUAAAUUAGAAAAUAGUAGAACCUAUAAAAAGUAUGAAUUUAUGUUAUGUUCUUAAAAAGUAUUUUUAAAAUUUGAGAUAGUAAACUUCAAUUUUUUUAAAUGAAUUUUAAAUUAUAUUACAUUUUAUAUAAAAAUUAGUUAGAGCUUGUUUGGUCAUGUAAUUUAAAAACGGUUUUCUAUUUUUAAAAACAAAAAAUUGUUUUUAAAAAUUUCUAACACUAUUUGAUCGUUGUUUUUUGGAAAUAAUUUCAAAAAAUAAAGUGAAAUAGAGAACAAAUAUGAAUUUUUUUUACCAAGUUUAAAAAAAACAUAAACACAUUUGGUCAUAUUUUCUGAAACUUGUUUAAUAGUUUUUAAAAGCAAGUUUUAGAAAAACAUGAUCAAAUGAACGUUGGUUUUUGAAAACAAAAAAUUAUCGAAAUCACGCCUAAUAAUUUCACAAACAAAACCAUGUAUUUCAUGGACAAAAACACAUUAAAUUCCCUUACUUGAUUCAUUACUAAUAAAAUUAUUUGGCGUAUAAAUAUGAAUUCAAACUUGUUUUUAUCCUCAUUCACAUUUAUAUAUUCAGUGUGAUGAUGAAAGCACUACAACUUGGGCUGGUUGGUCAGGUUGAUGACUAAUCCAAAUCCAACUCAAAUUAAGAAACAAUUUACUCAAGUUCAACUCAACCCAAUUUUUAAUCCAAGGCAUUCAACUUUAACCCAACCUAAUCUCAUUUUUUAAAAUUCAGAUUGAUCGGAUUAAAUCUAGGUUGAUCAAAUUUGACUUAGGUUAGAUAAUUCAAAAUUUAUUCAUAAUAUUUUUUUAAAAACUAUUUUCUAUCUAUUUAUAUAAAAAUUUAAAUAAUAAAUAGAAUAACAUUUUAAGAUAGAAAAAGAAUAAAUAUAAAUUUACAUAUUUUUCUUAAAAAAAUGAAAAACACAUAAUAUAAUAUAAUUUGAUAUUUUUUCUUAAUGAGUAUUAUUAUAUAAGAUAAUAUAUGUUAUAAAUAUUAUAAAGAAAUUAAUUCAGGUUUAGAUUUAGAUGGUUAUUUGAACAUUAGUCUGAACCCAAUUCAAAUUAAGUUCAAAUUAAAACAACAUAACUCAAGCUCAAUCCAAAUAUUAAAAAUAAUUGUCUAAACCCACUCAAAUAUCAAGUUGUGCUCGGGUUAGGUCAAGUAGACCCGAGUUUACCCUUAGAUGAUAUUGCUAAAAAAAAAAAUCAUAACUUAGAAAAGUUAGUUUUUUCCAAAUGAUAGUGGGAAAGUUGUAGAGCAAAGAAGGCCACAUUUGUCAAAUAUGGAAGCCAUAACAUCUCAAAAGACACUUUCCAGAGAUAAAACAGCCAUAGAGAUAGAAUAUCAUUCACGUGGGCUGUGCUCUAAAGCAUUUUCACCACUCCUUUACUUGUCUCACUGCUUUGUUCCUCAUUCAAUGUCUUCUCUCAGUGGAAACCAGCAUUUCAACCUUCUUUUCAUCUCAUUUUCUCAAGUAUUUCCCUAUUUCUGUGAAAUAAUAUACAAAACCCUAAUAUUAGUUUUAUUUAUGACCCAUGGUUAAAAAGAAAAAUGUUAAGAAAAGAAAAAAAAAAUAGUAAAGAAAAUGAUUUUCUCAUAUUUAAAUUUGUUAUAAAAAAUAUAAAUAAAUAAAUAAAUAUAAUUAAAAUUAGUAAAAAACCUUAUAUAAUUUUUUUCCUUCCACUUUUUCUUUCUAUUCUUUUUUUUUUUUUUGCAUUUUCUCUUAAAUUUUCCGAAACCAAAUAUAGUUUGAGAAAUAAUUUUUUAUAUUUUAUAAAAAAAAUGUGUUUCCAAGCUUUGAAAAAGUGAUUUAAAAUCAUUUAAAAAAGAAACAGUUAAUGCUUUUCUUUUUUUCUUUUUUUUAUAAGAUUUGAAUAAACUUGAAUUUGUUUGAAAUCUAAAUUGAAUUGAUGUAAAAAUGUGGUCCAAAAUUGUAAUUUUGUUUUGUCUAUUCAAAUAAAACAUCUGAAAAUAAAAAUUAAGUUAUAAAACAAAGAGUACACAAAACCUAUUCUUGAUAUUUUGGAAAUCAAAACCUUAUUCCUAAUGAUUUUUAAAGAUACGAGAUAAAUUUAUAUUUUUUUUAUAAAAUAUUUUAUUUUAUAUAAAAAAUUAUUUUAAAAAUAAAAAAUAGAAAAUAUAUCCAAAGCCUAAACACAAUAAUAUUAAGGUGGUGUUUGUUUUUUGGCUGAAUAUAAAAAGCUAAAUAUUUUGGUUUUUUCUAUUCAGUUAAAAGUAACAUGUUGACAUCAUCCAACAUAGUUAAAAUGAACUUGUUAUUAAUAAGUUCAAUUUAAUUAUAUUAGAUAUUGUUAACAGGUUAUUUUUAACUUAAUAGAAAAAGUUAAAUAUUUUGAUUUUUUCUAUACAACUGAAAAACCUAAGUAUGGAAAAGAAAUACAAAAAACAAAGAACAAGAUAUCAACAAAUAUGGCAUCACAUCGGACUAGUAAGGUAGGGGAAUAGGCUUGAAAACAUUCCUAAGGAAUGAUCCUAACCACCCUAGGCACACAGGGAAAUUGUACUAAUGUGGCCCUUGAUUGUGCCCAUGGCCCCCAUUCAUUAGGUUUACUCCUUGUGUGCCACACACCCUCAAAUCAACCACUUUGAAGCAAUUUCACAUGGGAAUAUUUGACUUUUGUGCUCACUUUUACACACCCUUUUGGCUUCCUUUCGUAAGCAUAUGCACUAACAUGUUACUACUUUUCUUCUCCAUACAUUUCUCCCAUUGUCUCUCAAUCAAAGGUAGAUAUAAGAAGAAAGAAUUUCUAUGUUUGCCCAUUUGUAUGGAUGCUCCAUGUAUUUAAUAUACAUCGACUGUCGAUGGAUCACGUCCCACGACCAUUUGGGUGAGACAAAUAAAUCUCAUGUCUCUCAUAGGUUUUGAAUGCCUAUGAAGAAUGUGAGACAUAUUUCCAACAACUAUUAGGUUGGGAGAUUUAUGAUUGAAAACCUUAAUUACUCAUAUGAUAAAUAGUGUUAUACCAUAAUUUGUUGAAUGAAUAUGAAAAUCAUAUGAUAAAAUAACAAGUAUUGGAGUUUGUUUCAAUAUUUUAUCAUUAUCUAUUUUGUUGACUUAAAAAACACGUCGAUUGAGUGACAAACACGUCUUUUCAUGUAGUGAUGUCAAAAUUAUCGGUAUAGGAAUUUGGUUUUUAGUCAUUACUUUUUUCUUAUAGUUUUAUAAGUCACUUUGUUGAAUCUGAAUCUAAUAAAAACAACAUAAAAAAACAAAUGAAUGUAAUAAGUGUGUUAAAUUCACUGUCUUCGUAGCAAAAGUAAUGAAUGAAACACUAAAAGAGAUGUCUCAAAUAAGUUAAAUAACUCGAAAGAUGAUGUGAGUUUUGAUGUAACUUACGAGACUUUGUAUAAGGAGUGUUUAAAUAUUAAAACAAAUAAGUCAAUUGCAAUAAAUCCAAAAUAAAGUUUAAUCAACGAGAUUUUUGUUUUAAAGGUGGAAAAGAAUCAUUACUCAACAAAAUUACUUUCUUUGAAAAUGAACAUGCUAAAAUGAAGAAAAAAGCAACAAGGAUUGAAAUGUGAAAAUUAAAUAUUUUAAUAUGAGUUAAGUUUUAAAAAGGAAGAGUUACAUUCUAACUUUAAGACUCAAUGAUUUAAUUAAGUUACGACAUAAAUCUUUUGAUGAAAGGGGCUUCAAAUUUGUUGAUGGAAAUAUUAUUCCAAAUAGUAGUAAACUAGUUUUUGUUAAGCCUUAUGGACAAGAACCUUAUUAGAAAACUCAUUAUCAAAUCGAGUUUCAUUGCACUUUAUUGCAAAAUAUGACAUAAUUAUAAUAAAUGUUAUGUAAGAUUGUUUGUAAUUUUUUUUUAAAAAAAAAAUCCAACCUAACAAAAAAUUGAUGAAUGGUAAAAAGGGUGUCCAACAAUGGCUCAAAGAUCCCUCUAUAUGCUAUGUUGAAUGAGAGUACUUUCAAUGAAAAUAUGAAAGUUUCAAAUAUUAAACAAAUUUGGGUAAAAAAAUAAUUAUAUUAAAUGUUUGGUUAUUCACACACAUCUCAAAGCAAGUAAGUCACAGUCAUGAUAUUUUGAUAGUAGUUGUUCAUGUCAUAUAACUAAUAAUAAAUUAUUUUUCACUAAAUUCAUUGAAUUUGAUAGAAAAAAUGUGUUAGUGAGGGUAAUGUGGCAAAAAGGUUAAAGCACUAGCUAUGCCCUAGGCAUUCCUAAUCUUGAAAAAGUCUUUAUGUAUGAAAGGCUUAAAGCUCAACUUAAAAAGCAUGAUCUAAAUAUGUGAAAAUGAGUUCAAUUUCCAAUUUUCAUAAAACAUAAGCAAGGUGUUUGGUUUAAAGGGAAAAUACAUAAUGAUUAGCUCAAGAACUUUUGACAAUUGUUAAAUUGUUAGUAAAAAAUCUCAUUUAUCCUUUUUUUGCGUAGAAAUUCUAAAAUUGAAUUUAUUAACUUUUGGAGUCAUAGAUUAAUUGAAAAUGAAAAAGACCAUACCAUUGUGAAAUUAAGAGCGACAAACAGAAGGGAUCGGAUAAUAUCAAUGUCAUUGACACUGUAAAGAAUAAUUUUUCAUUCUAGAACCAAACACAUUAUCAUUUGACAUUAAUUCAUUCAUGACUUGGUAAAAGACAAAGUUGUCUUCUUGGAGUAUGAACCUACUUAGGAUCAAAUAACUAAAAUUUGUACUAAAUCUUUGGAUGAAUGUUUCUAGGUUUGAAUCAUUUAAGAAGUCCAUAGGUCAUUGUGUUCUCGACUAAUUGCAUUUAGAGCAUGUUUAGGACAUUUUUCUAGCAUAUUCUUAAGUUCUAGAUGCUUUCUUAGAUUUGAAAUAUUUUUGUGUUUUACGUUUUUUUUUUUCAUUCUUGAUUCUUUUUUUGUUCAUCGGUAUCUUCUCAAACCUUUCUUCUUUUUACUUUUAUCAUCAUUGAUGUGUCUAUAAGGAUAUUUCUUUUAUCUUCCUUACAAAUGGUUAUUUUGUUUUAUAAUGACCUAGAAGAUCGUUAAUCUUAACUUAAUUGAUUGAUGAGCUAGUUUAUGAGCUAUUAUGAUUUUGAUUUGCUUGGAUAAGCUACAUGUUUUAAUUCCAAAUCUUGUAAGUAAUUAAUAGCUCAAAGGAGAGUUUUGUAUUGUCACAAAAGAUGAUGAAUAGUUCUUAAAGUUCAAACAUAAGUUUAUAUCUAUUUAAUGUGCUUUGAAGAUUGAGUAAAGUUACUUGAAAAUCUUCUUAAGAAUUUAGAUUUUUAUGGCCUCUUCAUUGUUUAUCCUUUUUCAAAGUCAAAAAGAAGUAAAAAGAAUAUCAUUUAUUUCCCGAAAUGGUUGUGAUACCUUGCAAUGUUAAAAUAUAAAAUGCUUCAAUUGCAAAAGGUGUUGAACAAGGUCACUUUAGUGAAUCUUAAAAUUAUAAUCAAAUCCCAAGUGUGUUGCCAAUAUUUUCAUAAGAAAUUAACUCAAAUAUUGUAUGGGUGAAGGGGUGUACAAUAGUCAUAUUAAAUAGAAAUCUAGUAAAGAUAGUUGUAAAUUGACUAGUAGGAAAUAGAGUUAAGCUAGCCUAGAGAUGAAUGUGAUCUUAAAAAUGAUGUUUGAUUUAUAGAUAGGUAUAGUCUUAUAAGUGUAUGCUAUCUAUAAUAUUUGUUAGUUCUUUGUGAAUUUAUGAGACUCUUUUUAGUUAGAAGGUGUUUGAUAUGGUGUUAAUAGUCUCUUAUUUCUUAACUUUGUAUAUGAUAAAUUGAUAAGGUUCUUAUUUCAAUGUUUUGAUUUUCAACUCUAAGUAGUCUCUUGAUGGUGUUUUUUAUCAUUAUGCAUCUAGAAAACUAAACGGUAGAUAGUUCAAAAUUUGUAUUUAUUGUUUUUAUCUCAACUCUAUUUAGGAUCAAUUCAAUUUUAUUAAUCAUUUUGUCUGUUCCUUUCAUAAGAUUAUAUAUGGGUUUUUUCUUUUCUCAUUUGUAUUAAUUUUUGGCAUGUCCCAAUUAAUCAACUAUUCUUCAGGAAAAAUUAAGAACUAAUUAUUUGUUAUCAAAAUGACGAUCGAUCAAUUUUAUCAAUCAAUUGUAUUAUCUAAAAACUAAGAGUUGAUUUUAUGUGAUCAAAUGGUGAUUGACCAAACAUAAUGAUCAACUUUAUUUGAAUAAGUUGAGAGUUGAUUUUCCUUGAUCAAAUUGGUGAUCAAUCCUUCUUUAUUAAUGUCGCUUAUCUUAAAAAGAAAGAAAAAAAAAAAGGAAUAUCCAUAAAAUUAAAAAAAAAAUCCCCAAUAUUUUUUAAUUGGCUCUAAAAUCAUUAUGAGUCCUAGUUUCAUAUUUGACCAUUUCAUCUCCUCUAUUAGCAUUACAGUCGUGGUGCUUUAUCUUUUCAUCUUUUUUGACAACUAUGGGUUUUCCUUUAGUUAGUCAAUUUUUUUUAGGUUUGGUAGUUAGUAUUAGAUCUUUGGUCAAUGUUCUAUCUUGAAAUGAGUUUUUAAAAAUUCUUCUUUGUUGUUCAUCUUUGGGUGGUUGGAAAAUUUUCUCGUGUUACUUUCAUCAAUCAACUCUCAAUAGGUGUUCACCGUCCCUCUUUAUUCAUGUUUUCAUCAUUGGUUAUGCAUAAUUGUUUUGGUUUUGAGGUUUUAUUUUCUAUUUUUUGAGUCACUUGAGGGUUCCUAGAGUUAGUUUCUCAAUGUUUUCGGAAUUAAUUUUGGAACUUGGAUGUGAUGUUUUUGUUUCAAUCUAUCACUUAAUAUUAGUUUAUUCACACUUGCAAAAGAUUGUUAAGCUCUUAUUCAUAACUUCAAUAUCUAAUUCCUAUGGUGUGAGUUAUAAGGAGGAUGCCCAUUUGAAUAUUUUUUUUCUAACAUAUAUUUACAUGGUUGUGUAGUGAUGGAAAAAAAAGGUUUUUGAAUUAUCUUCUAAGAUGUCUAAGAAUUUUUAUUGAUUAUUUCACUGACCAAUUUUCUCACCUCAAAUCUUAAAUGGAACAACGAAUAUGAGAACCAUUUUAUUUCUAUAGCACAAAUGUCUUAACCUUUGAUUUAAAUUCAUUUCAAGAUAAGGAAUCCAUAGUGAAGAGACUUGAGCAUGUCUCCUUGAGCUUCGAAUCUUAUUUAUAUUUGGGAAUGCUCGAGUCUUGUGAAAGUUUGUGGGUAUUUAAGUGCGAAAACUUUCAAUAAAAUAUGUUGUUGAUUCAUUACUUGUUUCUAUCUUUACCUAGUUCUUCAACCUUUGGGCUCAAAUAUCUUCAUCAUUUAGGCCCAAAUAUCAAGAAAAUGCCUAAAUCAUGUUUCGAGGUGAUUCCAAGGGGUUUCAUAUAAAGCUAGUGGAAAGCUAAAUUUCUCAAAGUACUAAACAACCAGUGUGGGAAAGGAUUAAAGGCAUUGGGUAAGAUAAAACCUUGUAUUCAAUAUCUUCUUUAUAUUAGAUUUUAUAACCGUGAUUGGUCAAUAGUUUCUUUUAUUCUUUUAAAGAUUUUCCACUUUAUACCGUCAUAUCUUUAUUUCUUAUGUUGGAAGAUUGUCGAUAUCAUUUGCUUCCACUUUUUAUAUAUUUGCAUUAUUUGGGGGAAUAUUGUGACAUCAUCUUUAUCUGGGGUUUAUUUAUUUUACAAAAAAUUAAACAAAAAAAAAAGAAAAAAAAGAAAAGAAAAGGAGAAUACAUUUAUGGGUCACACUUCGAAAUUUUAUAGGUCACCAAUUCAUUCCCCUAACUAAGAUUCAUUCAUAAAUUGAAAUCUAAUUUAAAAUUGAUAUUCUAAUAAAUUUGAUAACUAUUGUUCCAUUUUUUCCUAACAAGAUGGAAAAUUAAUCAUUAGGGUGAUGAACCCCCAUUGUAUUAGUAAAUGGGAGUGGUGCUUGCUUCCAACCCUACCAAUACACCGUCAAUUUACACAACUCAAAGCCCAUGAUUGAGGGUCCCUUAAUCAUAAAGGUUAAAACAAGAUUAGAUCAAAAGUUUCAAGGGGCAAAAAAAAAAAAGGGGGAAAAAGAAAAAGAAAGAGGAAAGAUAAUAAUGCAUGAGCAUUGACUUGAUGGUACUUAAAAGGAAGAAGAUCUGAGAUGAUCCAUAACGUGACUUGGGGACCUAAGGUGGUGGAAUCAACGGUGGAGAUUUUAUGUUUUGUGAUUGUGAUGAACGUGGGGCGUGGGAUGGAGGGCUAGCAAAAGCAUUUUAUAUGGAUAUGGGAUGUAAAUAAACCUGGAGAUGUUGAGAGGUGGGGACGUAUCCAUAUGAAAAUAAUCUAGCGAUCAUGCUUUACAGUACACACGCGUGCGCGUCAACAGUGAUCAUGUACGUCCAUUUGUGGGCCCUUCAAUUAUAGGGAACAUGGGGUCUUUUCGGAAAUGUUCCUCUGCUUGCUUCUGCAGGAUAGCUCUGUGCACUUUCCAAAUAUUAAUGAUCAUGAGUAAUGUAUUUUUGAAUCUGGUUUUUUUUCCAACUGUGUCCUCUUUUUGAUUUGCUUUUUUGGAAGGCAAAAUCUUUGUGUCUUUAUUGAAUCAACUUGUUUAAUACAAAGGGAAAUGUUGACGUAACUUUGCAAAGUACAAAUAAAUAAGAUUAAGGUAUAAGAUAUAAAAAAAUAGGACUGUAUAUAAAUAACGAAACUUAAAAAUAUAUAUAUGAUGCUAGUGAUAUUUUUUCGGUAGGCAUCAUAUUGUAACAGAAUUGUAAUACAAACCCUAAAAUUACAUUACUUUUUUUUAAAUUAAUUUAGGAUACAUUUCUUAUUUUGUAUUUUUAAAUUUUAAAACUUUUAUAUAAAAUAGAAUAUUUUACAUACAAAGUAUAAAUUUACGUUAUGUCUUCAAAAAUUAUUUUAAAAGUUUAAAAAUUAAUAGAAUAAUUUUUUUAAUAUCUCAAAUUUCUUUAAAAUAAUUUUUAAAAUCAUUACUCGUUAAAUGUAAUUUUGUAGAUAUUCUUAUAUCUUAUCUAAAAAUCACUAUUAUUUUUUUAUUUUAAGACUAAAUACAAAAAAUGUAUCUGAGUUGACACUUUUUUUUUUAUUUGAUUAAAUUUUUAUUCUAUUAAGAUUAUUUUUAAAAUUAAAACAGUUUUUUAAAUAUUAUUUUUGGUGCACUCAAUGCUCAAUUAGAUUUAGUUUGCCCACUAUCAAUUCUUCUAUUUCUUUUUAGAGGCAAAUGCCCAUGAUCACAUGAUCGAGUGUCUCAACUUACUGAUACACGCAUGGAAACUUGUUCUAAUCAUGUGCUUUAAGGACACAUUUCGUAUUCAUGCCCCUAGAAUUACAUCACAUUCCUUCUUAUUUCAAGACCCACAUUCUAAUUGUUGUCGGAUGCCAACCAUUAACUUCAGUAAAAUGUCAACUCUAGAUGCUUCUACCUAGUUGUAUUGAAUGAAUAACUUUGUCAAUAUAUCAAUUUCGGAUGCUUCUACCGAUGGUAAGAUGCCACAUCAGUCCCAAAUGGCAAUGCUCGACACACAAUGAUAAUUUAAAAUAUAUUUAAAAGUAAUUUCAAUAAAAAUGGAUAUAUAUCAUCCCACCCAAAAGCAAUGGAGUCAUUCAAGUUGGCUAUUAGGUUUUGACCUCAUUGCUAUCUUAACAACAAAAAAUAUAUAUAUAUAUAUAUAAAGUAGGAAGUUGAAACGAAGCUAUCAUUGAAAUAGAAGCAUCAAAACAUUGGAUUCAUAAUCGGUUUGUUGAAGACAAAUCUUAACCAACUUUAUCUUUGAAAAUUUAUUAGAAAAUGUUUGAAGCAUUCAAAACAAAAAUCGAUGUAUUGUCUUGGUAUGAACGAGUAGAAAAUGCUAGGCCUAUUAUUUUUCUAUUAAUAAUCUAUUAAAUAUGUGUUUUUUUAGAUUUGAUUACUACCCCAAUGUUUUGAUUGCCUCGUGUAAAUUUUCGAAUAGUGGAGAUUACCAAUUUCAUAAAUACUCAAUGGACAACCUGACAUUUUCCUACAAAUAUAUUAUAUAAUAUUUUUAUAUAAAAAAAAUAAUUUUAUAUGAAAAAACAAUUCAACAUUUUUAGUUGAAAAAAUAUCUACCAUCUAACAUUAGGAAAAAGGCAUAGGGUUUGGUUGGGUCAAUAUGGGGUACAGGUGGACUCGUCUCGACCAAUGCCUUCCGUAAUGUCUCUGUCACCACACCAUUUAAAACUCUGCUGUCUCCGGACAAACCCGUUGUUUAAAUCAAAAUACAAUUGAAAAAAAUAAAAAAAUGGAACAAAUCCAAUAGUCAACGUGAUGAGUCAAAUCAAGGGCUGUGAUCACCCAAUCAUGUUGAUAUCCAAUCUUUAGAUUCCCGCUGAGAUCAGAGAUCCGCUGACAUCACACGGCUCAUAGUGUGGGCCCACCCUACGCAUGCUGCUCCACACCGCAGAGUAAUUGCUCUAUGUACGGAGGACAUUUAUGGUGUAUCAUGCGGGUACGCACACUUCUGUAUGCACAUUUAUAAUGACCCAUCCAUGGAGGAAACAAAGACACAAUAGAGGAAAUACCUGGAGGUGAUCUGAGCCAUUCAUUUAAUAGAAGGGGCCCACACUAGGGCCGACCUUGAUAUUAUGAGGAGGUGACACGUGGGCCGGUUGAGGCAGAGGACGAUCCUGGGGACCACCACCAAUAUCCCGGAUCUUCUCCCACUUGAUUCUCUGCAAUCCGCAGCCGUAAUUCUUGAAAUUAUCAAAAAUGCCCUUUUCUCGAUUUUGUCAAAGGUGUAUGUUUGGAGUUCCACCGCUUCUAAUGAUCUCCACUGUCCAUUUCAGUCGUUUCGAUUCAGCCGUCGGAUGCCAAGACUAUCGACCAAAUUCAAAACUUUAAUUGAUUGAGUUUAUUUAAAAUUUAAAUAAAAAUAUAAUACAAAUGAGUAUUUUUCAAUUUUUUUUAAUUUAGACAAAAUAUUUAAAAAAAAUAUUAAUUUAAAAAUAAAUAAAUUUAUUUAUUUAAUAUUUUAAAAAAGAAAUAGUUAGUCAAAUUCAAAAUCAUUAAUUUGAUGUGGAAAUCAUGGAAGAUAAAGUCAUUGGACAUUUGGUAAUAAAUUAUAUAACAUGUCAAAUAAGGACUCAUAUAUGAGUAAGAAUUACUCUUUCAUGAUUGCAUAAUCUUGAAGGAAAAUGAUUAAUUCAUGAAAUUUGAUUCAAGAAAUGAUUAGUGAAUAAAUGAUAGAACAUGGGGUGUAAUCUUCUACAAAAAUUAAAACCUUUCUAUGGAAAUAAACCCAGGUGAGAUUAAGAAAUUUAUCUAAAGAAUUUUGAAAAAUGAAAACAAAAAUCAUCUAUGUGUUAGUGUUAUUACAGAGGGUUAGGAUUAGGAAAAGGGUUUAACAUGAACAUGAAAGCACUGAAUCCUUGCUAUUGGGGAUUAAAUAAUGGGAAAACAAUAAAAAACAGUGAUUAUAAAUCAUAAGCACUUGGCAGUUGGAUCUUCUUCAGUGGUGCUUCGGCCAACAAAGAUAUAUUAUUUUUGAGGCCUCUCCCUCUCACACUCAACUCUUUCCUUGUUUGGACUUUGGAGUGAGAAACAAGAGAGAGAGAGAGAGAGGGGGUUGGACUUGUGUUUGGGAGGGAAAAAGCUCAGAGAGACACCCAAGUGGGAGAGAAAGCGGAUGGAAAAAAAGAGAGAGAUGUUUGCAGGUGAGAAUGGGUUGCAAGGAGACCCAAGGCUGAAGGCCAUAUCAGAAGCCAUUAGAGUGGUGCCUCACUUCCCAAAGCAAGGUCUUUUCUUUGUUUUUCUGGGUCUAUUGUAUUAUGUUUCUUUGUGGGGUGUUUGUUCAUUUGAAUGAUUUUUUUUUUCUUUUUUUUUUGUGCCUUUCUCCUCUUUGGUUUUGGGGUUUAGGUAUCAUGUUUCAAGACAUAACAACUCUGUUACUGGAUCACAAGGCCUUCAAGGACACUGUUGAUAUCUUUGUUGAUCGUUACAGGGACAUGGGCAUCUCUGUCGUGGCUGGUAUACUCUCUCUUUCACACCCAUUUCUUUCUUAUUUUUUUAGUCUUGAAGUCUUCUCCUUUCUAUAUCUAAUUUGGGACAGAGGGUUUAAUGGGAUUACCAUUUGUCAAGUGGCAUGAUGGCCUUAUUUUUCUUUAAUACUUGUUUUCAUUUCUUUUUUGAAUCUUUUGCUAGUGAUUGGUAAUGUUAUCAAGUGGGUUAGAAGGGAAAGUUUUUCCCUUUUAAGAAAUUUUUGUUUUCAUUUCUCACUUUCAAGCUCAUAAACACUAAUGGGGAGAGACGACUUUGUGUGAACACUUUCAUUAGUGGAAUCUCUCUUUUUCCUUUUUUCCUUUUUGUUCAUCAUUUCUUGUUUUCAUCUUUACUUCUUCUUGGGUUUCAAAACCAGGUGCUCUGUGAAAUAUAUUUCAAUGGCUUACAAUGUGAUUUUCGGCCCUCAUAUGAAAGAGCAAAUUGUCACAAUCAUAUCUUUUUUCUUUCUUUUAAUUCAUUGUCUAUUUUCAUUGUAUGUCCCUCUUUUUUGUUUAUUUGUUCCUGUUCCUAUUCUGUUCCUCCAGGAGAGUAUUUUAUUUGACUGGUUUCUUAGAUUGAUUAAUAGAACAAGAAUGUGGCUCAUCGAUCUUAUAAUUGUUAUGGUUGAUGAACUGCAGAAAUUUCUUGUUGAUCUGGACUGACCUGAGAUUUCCUGUACUAUGGUAUCAUCUUCAUGAAUUGGUCAUCAUAGUAUUUAUUGUUUGCUUGCUAUGGCUGAUAAUAUGGGCUAGGCAUUCUGGACAUGGGGUGAAAUUUGAGAAGUUAUAGCCUUAAAGUAUUUGAAGAAAGGGAAUGCCGUAAGUUAGUCACAAUUUGCAAUUCAACCUGUGUGUCACCCUGUAAAUUUGAAAAUUAUGAACAAUGCCAUUAUGUCAGUGCUCUAGUUUCCUAGGAAACAGAAGAAGAAAUAAAUUGCUUAAAGUAUGGGCUGGCGUUUGGCCUCUGGUCAUCUGAUAAAUUUGUCUAACUCAUAAAAUUGACCCAUUUAAUAGUUGAUACUCAACGGUUAAGAGUGGGUAAAGGAAUUUUUUAUGACUACUGCCUGAAGUUUGUAAUUCUAUGGUCUGUUUGAUGCCUGCUCACAAUUUUAAAUGACAUUCUAGGAGUUGAAGCGAGAGGAUUCAUGUUUGGUCCUUCUAUUGCUUUGGCCAUUGGAGCAAAAUUCGUUCCUCUUCGGAAACCUAAAAAGUUGCCAGGUAUGCCUUUAUGUCAAAAUGAAACUAUGCUUGCCGGCCCUCAUAAUUAUAUGAAAUUUGCUCUCUAUUUUGGAACAGUGGACUUAGAUUUCGCAUACCUUUUGGUAGCCAAAGUUUUGGUGAAUGAAAUGCUAUUGAAAAACUCUCUCAUCGCAAAACUGUCUCAUAGUGCCCAAUUGGCUCAUGUGAUAUUUGAAUUCCUUUCAUUUUAUUAGGUGGACAAGUAUUAUAAGUAGCUUUUACUUUUUAUGAUUGAAUCAAACUCUUUUCUAUGGAUUCUGAGUUCAAACCUUCAAAAUUUUGAAUUUAGGAGAAGUUAUUUCUGAAGCAUAUGUUCUGGAAUAUGGAACCGACCGUUUAGAAAUGCAUGUUGGAGCUGUUCAACCUGGGGAACGAGCAUUGGUGAUUGAUGAUCUGAUUGCUACAGGUGGGACCCUCUGCGCAGCGAUAAAACUAUUAGGUAAGGACCUGGAGGCCCUUCUAAUGUUUCUACUAUUCUGUUUUGUUUGUUUGUUGGUUCUCUGGUUAACAUUAUUAUGCUUGGAAAUGCUGCUAACUAGAACGUGUGGGAGCUGAAGUAGUAGAAUGUGCAUGCGUUAUCGGGUUGCCUGAGGCUAAGGUAAUGGUGUACAUUUAACGUUUUAUAUGUUUUUGCUCUUGUUAAUUUUAGAUAGAUGGUUCAACCUCUAAUUAACAUUUUUGGAUGGCUUGUGAUCAAAUUAGCAUUUAUAGUGAUGCUGUUUGCCCAAAGUUUCAGUUCUCUGAUGGAUGAAUUUGAAGUUGGUGAAUUAUUAUGUCAGUACUACAUGAAAGGGUUGGGCCUAAGCAUUUCUAUAGCUAGUCAAGUUGGUGCAUCAUAUGGUUCUGUGCUUAACAUCUAACCUUACUUUAUUUAGUAGUAGCUGCAUCAAUUGCUAACAAGUGGGUAUCAUGCAUGCAACCGUGAGCUGCUACCUGGUCUGUUUUCGAGACCUUGUAGUAGUUGAUACAAACUUGAAAGUAAUACUGAAACCAUUUCUAGUGAAGCUACCCUAUCUAGUAAAUAUUUUAGGAAAAAGAAGAGAGAAUGUGCUUUGUCAUUUGGGUCACAUGGAUGUUCUGAGUAACCUAUCUUUUCUGCCAGUGUGUAGUUACGGUAGUAUCGAUUAACUGGCCAUGUCUUGUAUCUGAGAUGUUAUUGAUGAUACUUCUGACCAACCUCUUUUUCUUUUUCUGGUUUGUUUUUGUUGUUUUUAAAAAGAAACAAACAUCUUCAUCCAUUAAAUGAUAAAUACAACUAGAAUAGGAUGAGCAAUUCUUUAAAGAUGUAUGUUGCUCAGAAAGUAACCAAGUACCCUUCGCCUAAAAAAAAAACUAGCUCCAUCCUCACAAGGAAUAAAACCAAGGUACACACAGUAGAGAUACUUUAUACAUUCCAGGGGGAAGAAAAUCUCUAACAAAAGAGACCAAACACAUUGCUUCUUGUUUGUCUAACUGGUCUGUGACUGGAUUAGCUGAAUGAGGAACCCAAACGGAGCAACCCAACUCACUACCAACAUAUAUGACUGACCCUUCUUUUCUCACUGAUACCAAUUUCCAUAUUGUUUAUUUAUUUAUUUUUGUGUGAUGAAUGGUUCACCUGAUUUUUCCCACCUAUUGUAUGAUUUUGUUUUUAUCUCCUUUUAUCUAAAUUUAGCUUAACUCUAUAUUUGAUCCAUCCAAAUUAAUGAAGGAUUUUCAUGAAUGGUGUAGCCCUUUGACACAGUUCCUCAGUUUCUGGUUUAAUAUUAAUGAAAUAUCAAUGCUCUAUAACUCAUUAGGGAAAAGUGGUACUGUGGUUUCUCUUCUGAGCUGAGCUUGCUAAACUGGAUUUUAAUGUUGUCUUGCUGUAGUAGCUUGGGUCUAAUGAGUAUGUGCUUUGCAGGGACAGUGCAGGUUAAACGGAAAGCCAUUGUACAUCCUUGUGGAGCCCCGCAAGUAGACAAUUGUUGUCAUGGUAUUAUUCUAAACCUCUUUUGAUUCUCAAAUUUGAUAAAGAAUUUUGGUCCCAUGCAUUUAAAGAAUUGUGUAAAUUUAUGAUGUUAGAUGGCAGUGUAUGACUUGUCAGUCUGGAUGGUUUUACGUGGCAUUAUUAGCUGCAUAUGAAUUGAUGAAUCUACUCAGUAUUGGUAAAUCUACUACUAUACUAGAUGGUAUAUGUGCUAUGCAACAGUGGGGUCAUUGCACCAAGAAAGGUGAAGGAAUGUGAGAAAUUUGUGCAUGUAUGCACGCUCGUGUGGUUGUGGGGGAACUUUUCUGUAAAUGGUUAAGAGUAGUUAAAAAAACGCAAUUGAAGUGGGUCGAGGCUAUCGAAAAUGUCUUGCUCUAUAUACAAAAUGUCAAUAAAUAAUUUUUUGAACCAACAAGACACGUAGAAGAAUAAAGAUGUCCAUUAGUUUUCUUGUUGGUUCUUAGAUAUUUUCUAUAUACAACAUGAAUUAUUAAUCUAACAGUUCUCGGAAAAUUCUAAGUAAAAUAUGGUGGCUCUUUAUAUUGAAACAUGCUUUGUCGGUUCCCCUAAGCAUUAUCCAGGUCAUCCUCGCUUCUGAUAACUGAAUUCAUGCUUACAAAUCAUGAGGGUUAUAAAGCUUUGUCUAGGGCUACUGUGAAUGUAAGCCACUUGUGGAAUUCUGAUCAACUUAAUUAUUUAAGAAAAGUAGUCCAAUUUUAUUGUCGUAAAAAUAAUUUACAAAAUAUUCUAGAUAUUGCAAAAAAAUUCCAGAUUAUUCAAAACAUUUACUAUGGAUUAUUCUUGAAUGGUAACAUUGGCUUCUUUUUUCAAUAUAUGUUUCUUCUCCCAUGCAGAAUCGAUCUUCCAAGUCUUUCCUUUUUAUUCCUUAUCCUUUAUUGAAUUAGUGCCUUCUUGCUCUAGUUUCAUGCUGUUUUCAUGAUAUUUAUUAUUAAAUCAAACAUAAUUUCUUUAGUGGGAAUUGAGAGCGUAUGGUAUAUUCUACAUCCUAUAGAAAUUGAUUGAGAAAUUAUAAAAAAACCAUUGAAGAUUUACUUGUAGCCUGAGCUUUAUAUGAGGUGAAAGCCUCUUAUGGUCUCUAUAAUGAUUAUGGGAAAACUUACAGUUGAGGUAUGUGUCUUUCUCUUUUGUAUGUAUUUUUUGUUUGGAAACUAUGAAGCUCAACUUCAUUGUUUCUACUACAUCGAGAUGGUCUUAACAUUGAACCAUGUGAUCCAUAACCAUUCCUUGCUUCCAUCAAGUAGAACUAUCGUGGGUUUUGUACUUAAGAGUAGGCCAUGAAAUAGUUUGUGAACAUGUAAACCAAAUGCAAGCUAUGCUUCCAGAGCUUUUCUGCUCAUUGAGCUACUUGGUGUUACCAUGGGAAGGAUGAAUGGUGUUAACUGUGUUGCUUUGGUCCUGUCUCAGUGGGAACAAUUUAUCCAUGCAUGCGGUAUCGAACAAGCUCCCUCCCUUCUGUUGUCAACCAAUCUAAAAAUGUCGGUCUUAAAACAACACCCUAACCCCUGAAAUACUAUAUAGCCCAUGUGAGCCGGAAAUGAAGUUGGGUUGGGAAAUUUUAGCAAGUUGAAAUAUGACAUGCCUGUGUACUUGUUGGAUUCCAUGGAAUCCAAAGGUUGUGUGAUUCUCUGUAUUAAGUCUGGUUCAUUAUGCUUCUGCUUGGUGCCUGGUUCUCAAAGUUGAAGAAUACCUGGCAUCUUAUUAGUACCAAACCCUGGCUUUUCCACCAUUGAUUUCUUAACGAACAACCCUACUUACUAACAUCUUGAACUUGUAUGAAACAUAACAGGUGGAUGGUUUUUGUAGUUCUACUUUUGGUACAAGUUGCUAUAUCAUUUUUGACAUGCAUGUCUUGUGGUUUUUCCAGUGACAAGAGGCUCAGUCAUUUGAAGUAUCACCUAUUACUGGGAUUGUGGGCUGUGGUGCCCUGCAAGCAAAGCUCAGCUCCCCUUGUGGAUCAUCUUCUCAAUGAGGCAUGCUCUCACAAAGCUCCAUUUGUGCAAUUUUCUGGUUCUUGAGUCAAGUCAGUCUAGUGAAGAAUCCUCUCCUUUUGUAGGCGCUUGUGCCUUUUCUUUCUUUUCUUUUCCCUUUUUUUUCCUUCUUUUAUUGUAGUUUUAAUCAGAAAUGGGGAUGAAAUGGCUGAGAAGCAGUGGGCGGGCAGCAAUUGCCUAUAUUCAAUUUGUUAAAUUUGUACCCAACUCUGAAUUUUCAAGAAUGUAUUGAUUGUGUACGCCUAUUCCACCACCAUCUCAAGCCUGCUUUAGUCUUCUCUGUUGCCUCUCUCAUGGAGUUCAUGAGAUUUGGAAGGAUCUGUAUUGAAAAGCAAUCCCACAUUAAACCUCUGCCACAUGGGUCUUUGGCUCUGCAACUGCUCAGGUGGAGCAUGAGGGUUUUCGGGAUCCUGGAUUUGUAACCGCCGCUUAAGUAGAUUGGAAGCUUUCGCUUCUGUAAUCAUCAUUGUUGGAAGUAUUUGAAUCAUGUUUCUUCAAGGAAAAAAGAAAAAGAAAAAAGAAAUUAAUGUUCUUCGCAAUUUUCGUAUAAACUUACCUUAAAAACAUAAUAAUUUUUAAAAAUUAUUUAAACAAAAUCAUGCCAGCCUUUUUUUCAAAAUUUGAAAAUUCUAAUAACCGUUGUUUCAAAGAUAAGGUGAGCCCCCCCCUUUUUUUUUUUUUAAAUAAAAUUUUAUAUUUUAUAUUUUAAAAUCAAAACAAAAUAAGCCCAUCUCAAGAAUCAAAUUAUUUUUUAAAAAAACAUUAAAAGUUGGUUUGGUUCAUGUUUUAGACUAUUCUUAAAAUUCCUAUGAAACAGGUUUUAAAACUUUGUUUAAUAGUGAUUUUAAUAAGUGCUUUUUAAUUCUUUUAAUUUUUUUUUUAUGUAUUAAAAAUGUUAAAAAUGUUUCUUGAAAUCAUUGUCAAACACAUUUUAAAAGUCCAUUAGAUAGUAACGGUAAAAAACACUUUUUACCUUUUAAGCACAGUACGUGUGAUAGUGAUUUUAGGAAGUAUUUUUAAAUUUAUAACACUUGAAUGAUGAAAAUUUUCGAGUAUUAAAGUAUAUUUGGAAGUGAUUUUAGAAAGUAUUUAUGACAUUUCUAAUAUUUGAAAUUUUUUAUCUUUUAAGUAUAAAAAAUUGUAAAAACAUUUCUCAAAAUUAUUAUUAAACACGCUUUUAAAAAUAUUAAAAGUGUUUCCUAAAAUAAUUGUCAAACAAACUCUUAUUUCCACUUAUAAAUGUUAGAAAAUAUUAGAAGUGUUUUCUAAAAACGCUUUUUACUUUUAAGUACUUUAAGGUGUUAGAAAAAUUUAGAAGUACUUUUUAAAAUCUACGGUAACAUAAAACCUAAUUUCAGACAAAAAAUGAUUUAAUAAAUUUAGACUAUAUUUGAUUCCAGGAAAGUUUGAGAGGAAAUAUAAAAAAAAAAAUAGAGAGAAAACAAAAAGAAAACCAAUAAAAAAAAUAAAAAGUAAAUUUAAAAUCAACAAAUUAUUUAUAUAUAUAUAUAUAUAUAUAUUUUUUUUUUCUAUAAUAAAAUUAAAUAUGCAAAAAUUAAUUUUUUAAUAUAUUUUUUUCUUUCCUUUAAUACUUUUUGAGAAUCAAACAUAAUAUUAAAAUAAAAGAAAUUUAAAUUCAAUAAUUUUUUUAUAUCAAUUAACUAAAAUAAUUUUGAUCAUAAAAGUUUUUAUUUGAGUUUGAAAAAGAGUUGUUGAUGAAGUUUCAAAAAUAUUGAAGGGUUUCUUGUCACCUAAUUUUUCCAUUUCUAUUUUUAGGAAAAUAUCUCGAUCCAAAUUUGAUUUCUUGGUCAAGAAAUGGCAAAAAAAAAAAAAAAAAAUAGCAACGCACAUGGCCCACAGGAGGCGUGGGUCCCAAUGAGGUGUCGGACGGGUUUAAGCACCGUCAGAAAAUGAUGGUAUAAAAACUAAAAAGGAAAACAGAGGGCGAGAAAUGUCUGUCCCUUUUGAAGUCGCAGUGAAAGUGUGAAGUGAGAUAGCAGAGACACAACAGAGCAAAAAUGUCUGCGGCCGUCUGCGGCAGCAAGAGAUCAUUCAUGGACGACAUCGAAACGACGCCGCCUCAGGCUUCCAAGAAGCUUCGCUGUUCUUCCAACUCUCCUCCCCGAUGCUCACCACCCUCUGCUCCCCUUCGUCAACUCGCUGCUACCUUUCCUCUCCUCGACUUCCAGGUUUUGUUUUUCUUUCUCAGAUACGAUGUAGUAUUCAUUUCGUUUUCUGUUUUUAUUCCUUCUGAUAUCUGUUUGGUCUCUGAGAAAAUUUUGAAUUGACUGAUGCGAGUGUUUGUUUGUUUUAUUGGAAACGGGAAUUAAGGUUCGGAAUUCGGCAACCGAACGGAGGAUUUUUUUUUCGGUUUUAUUUGUUUUUUCAUCAUUUUAAAAAAUGGCAUUGUGAUUGUUCUUUUGAUGUUUAGGAGAUUGGGAUUAUGUCGUGUAGCGAUUGUGGUCUUUGGAAGAUUGUUUUUUCGUGUUUCUUUUUCUCUCUUGGAAUGCUACAUAUAUUGAUUUUGGUUUGGGUUUUAUUUCUUCUGUUGGAAUUGGGUUGGUUUCGUCUGUUUGAUUGGUGAGAAAAUUUUGAAUUUAUUGAGGUGGGCUUUUAUCAGAAAAUUGAUACUGCUACCCUGCUAUGUUACUAAGUGAUGGUACUCCUUAGAAGAUAGUUUUGUGUUUUUUCUCUUAGUUAUAGAAAGUCUGGUUCUUUGUUUUCACAAUGGUGACGUAGGAAUGAUCUGCUUUGUGAAUUGUACUAGAUGAAUUGGGCAUGGAUAUUUCUGCACAAAAUGGAUAUGUUUGUUGAGAAUGGAUCUACUUGAAGUCAUUUAGAAGCCUUACCCUUGAUACCAAAUUUGUCAUUUUAAUUAAGCUCUUAACAUGCAUCCAUGGUGGACAGAAUCUUGUUCUUUCUUGGGGAAAGGGAAUCUUCCUUGCUUUGGUUGGAACAUAAGAAAAUUGUUCUAGAUAGGACUCUUAUGUAUCUUUUUUGAGUGAGAAAUGGAAAACUUUCUUGACAACAAGAGUGAGAGAAUUAUGUUUGGGGAAAGGAUGAGAUAAAGCUUUUAUGUGGAAACUCCGUGAAUCGGGGAGAAAAAUCUAAGUUGGUUGGAUCCUAGGUAUAGUUAAAUUCACUAGAAGUUAUGAAUGUGGGUGUUUACAAGAUACCAAAUCUGGAACUUUCGAUAAAAUUCAGAUGUUGACUUGAUUUUUCCACACCGGACCUCCAUGCCGUGAAUUACACGCGCCAUUGUCACUUUUCCAAUGCUUCUUUGUAGUUCUUGAACUCCAGGAUCCGAAUCCAUAAACUGAACACUCCAUAUGAGCAAAUACUUUUCAUAAGCUACAUUCUUUGCAAGUACCCGAUCUAUUUUCUAAAUCUGUGAAAAUUUUCAUAAGUUGAUUGGCUUGUGUUGCAAUCCUUGGCACCUUUAAUCUGUAAGGCUGAAAUACUGUUUUUGGGUUUAAAAACAUUAGAAAAUAUCCAAUUGAAGGCAAAAACUUCUCUUUUUUUCUGAAAAGAUCUAUUAAGUUCGCUCAUGCUCGCAGGAAGACACUGCCUUCAAGCAAGUCGAUUUAGUAAACUCUCCACUGCCUCUAAUUUCUUUGUUCAGGAUUGGAGGGAGAUCUUUCUUGGUAAUUGACAUUUUUAAUGGAAUUGCCAAUAUCAUGACUUGGACUCAGAAUCCUGACACUUGAUUAUAUUGUUUUCUAUUUUGUUUGAAGUUUCUAGUGUUAUUGCUUUGAAAUAUUUUUAUUUUUUUUAUUCCUUUUGCACAUUGAUUGAUAGCCUAAUAGACAGAAUAUUAUUUUCUUGCACAGUUGUUGAGAUAAUUUGUAGCUAUCUCUUUGCUACUGUGACUAAUUAUCAUUUAAUUGUAUUACUUUUCAGGUUCUUGAAAGAGCACUGGCAGAAUGUGACAAUGACCUAGAUUCUGCCAUGAAGAGCCUGCAUGAGCAUCAUUCAAGAUAUAUGGAGAAAAGAAUAGGUUCAGUUGAAGGGACCUUUGCUGCAAACAUGGAUAAAGGUAUACUCUUAUUCUCUAUAAGAGACUUGUCUAUUCUUUUAGAAAAGAGCAAGCUGAGAUCUAUCUUGUUUGCUCGGCUGGAUUUUGAUGUUUAGGUCUAGGUUUUCCAAAGUAUCUAGAAGCUGCAUUGAUUAUCUGGUACAAAUGUUUUUUAUGCUUUGGUUUCACUUGUUACUAUGCAGUUGAUCCUCUAAUAAUUGAUAUUUAUGAAACAGUAUUCUCUAAUGGCUUGUAAUUCUUUUGAGGAAUUAACUUGGUUCUCGGGUGGAUUAUUAAUAAUCCUGUUACCCAAUAAUUAAUGUUUUCUUAAGAAAUUCUUGUACAUUAAUUCUUAGACUGGAAAUAUGUAAAAAAAAAAUAUUUACCUUAUCAUGUAUGAGAUGAGUAGCUGUGAAUGAAAACCUCAAGCAAUUAGAUCCAAUGGAUAAGCUAUUUAUUUUUGCCAACAUUUCAAUAAACGACAACUUAAAAGACAUCAUACAUGCAAAUCAUUCACUUUUCACACUCUUUUCUUGGAGUGUUGAUCUCAUUAUCUUGUAGGCUAAGUUCAUAACAAGGAAUCAUAUGCUUCAAAAAUGAGGUCUCAAAUAACGUAAAAAAAUUGGUUUCUGACUCAUGAUAUUCAAUUGUUUUAGGAAUUUCCAAGUCCUCAUGGACUUUUAGUAUAUGGGAGCGAAAUAUUUAUUUUUCUUCCCUUUAUAUGAUCCUAAUAGACCCUUUCCUUUUUACAAUCUUCUUGUUUACUUUAUGGGUCUAUCUCAUCACGUCUCUUUCUCUCAUAGACACCCCAUCAAAACCUUUUCUUGACCUUGGAAUAGGUUGAUGUCUAAUUUUCCUUAUUAGAAAUAUAAUUGAUAAGAUGUAUAUGACUCAUGUUUUUGUGCAAGUUGUCUAAUUGUGAGGAAGUUUUUUGCUGAUGAAAGUUGAAGAAUUUUUUUUAAUAUUUAAUAAAUUCUUUUUAACUAUAAAUUUUCUCGUCCAUGACUAUUCCUUGUUAGAAAAUAAGUACUAUAGUAGGAAACUCCCAUUUUGUAUGUUUUCUAAUGAAUUUUUUUAUAUUCUUUCAGGGGCCUAAACCUUUGUAUGACACAUUUGAUUUAGAUAAAAAUUUUCUUACUUAAACAUAAGAGAUUCAGAUGAAAGUUUACAAAUUUGAAUAUCUCGAGUCCUUUCCAUAUAUAUCCUUGAUGCAUAUAAAUUUCAUUCUUUAUAGUAUCAUGCAAAAUCUAAAGAUUUUGAGCUAUAAAUUUCAUGUGACAUACUUUAUUCUGAGCUCAAUCCUCUUUAAUAUAAGCUGAUACAUUCCAAAUAAUGAAUUGUCAUUCUGAUCAUUAAGAUGGGAUAGGUUGUUGUUUUGGACCUUCAGUCAUCGUCAAUUCAAUGUACGCAUGUUUGGGGAUGUGUUCCUCAUAACCUUAUACUACUUUACCUAACAUAGUCAUUAUCAGUAAAAACUAAACUAUUCUUAUAAGCUGUUUUAUGAGCUAGCUGCUUGAAACUGCAUUCUCUUUCUAUGGUUGGUUUCACCUGAGGGCAGGACUCUAACAGCUGCAUUUAUAAUUGGCAGGUAGCAUAACUGCUGAUGGAACUGCUUUUUCAAACAACCUUCCUGUGGAUGGUGGAGAAUGGGUGGAAUUAUUUGUAAGGGAAAUGAUGAAUGCUGCAAAUGUAGAUGACGCCAGAGCCCGUGCAACAAGAGCACUGAAUGGUUUGGAGAAAUCCAUCAGUGCAAGAUCUGAUGCUGAGGUAGCACAGACAUUUUACAAGGUGGGUAUUUAUUUGUUUAGGCAAAUAUGCUUGAAUAUUCUGCAUGCCAGUGGGACUAGGCUGCAGAAGUUCGGAAAAUAAAUUCCACAAAAAAUGAGUUACUGGGGACACAUAUCUAAUAGAGAUUCUGACAAAGUUGACAUUUUUUUUUGAAAUUAUGAUCUUUAAAUCAUGUAAACCAUGACAAAAUGUGUCAGUGCAUAAAGUGUCUGCCAGAAUGGAUUCAUCUUCCUGUGUUCAUCGAAGUGGGAAAAAGAUUCUGAAGUUAAAGAGUGCAGUUCUGAAAUAGUUGGCUAUUGCAAUGAUUCAGUUUGUGCCUUGAGGAGAAAAAGGUAAUGGGAAACAGUAGAGGUGCCUAAGCAUGCAUUCUUUGCGAAGUUUUAUCCAGUGGGAAGAGAAAAAAAGCAGAAUGUGCUUGUUUUUUGGAAUCAUCUAGCAUUUUUAAGCUGGAAGAUUGUUUUGAAAAUUGCGUGGAAGUUAGAUUUUUCUGUUCUUCUUUACAGAUGCUACAAUGCUUAAUCACAAACUGUCCUUCUGGAGCCUUGUCUAGUUACACUAUUUAUUUUCAGGAAAAUAUAAUGCUAAAGGAACAACUUGAAGUACUAAUGCGGGAAAAUACUAUUCUCAAACGUGGUGUGGCUAUCCAGCAUGAACGCCAGAGAGAGUAUGAUGAUAGGAACAGAGAAUUGCAGAUGUUGAAGCAUUUGGUCCCUCAAUAUCAGGAGCAGCUGAGAACCCUAGAGGUGAACAUCAAAACCCCCACAAUUCACAGGAACUUAACACAAAAAUAUUUAAAUGUGUUAGCAUCACAGAACUUAUCUUUUAUCAAUUAAAAGGUUCUGGGAUUUUUACUUUACGGUUGUCAUGCCAGGUGAAGAACUAUACCUUGUCAAUGCAUCUGAGGCAUAUGCAGCAAAGCAGCUCUGUCACCGGUCGCUUCAAUCCUGAUAUCUUUUGAGAAAGAGAUGGAAGGUAGUACAUGAUAGAAAACUCAACUCAAAUUUCUGGGCUCAUUCAUGGUGUUUGCUCAGGGACCUGUUUGUUGUCUUUUUCAUGGCCCAUUUGGUCAUGUUGUUGUCUGGCUGUCGUUGUAAGCAAAAUAUGGAGUUAGUUUCAGCUCUGCUAAUAGAAGAUUUUGAAAUGAUUUUAAAUUUUAAUGGCAUUCUCAUUUUGUGAGAAGAUUUUGCACUAAUUUCAAUUUCUUACUAUAUAUAUCAUAUAAGAUCUUUGAGGGCUUGUUGCUGUGUCCUUCCUCUCAUGCUUUGGUUCUUAAUCAUAAUGCUUCCUAUAAAAUGCUCUUUAUCUGUUAUUUAUGUAUAUAAUAGAAUUUGUAAUCCACCUUUGUCAAUGUCAUCUGUUAAGGGUGUUUUUGCUAGGCUGGGUUGGGCUUGGAAAGCAAUAUAUCACAUCAAAUUAGUUUAUUUAUUUAUUAUUUAUUUUAUUUUUUAAAAUUGUGAUAUUGUGAUGAUUGGUGUUAUGAAAGCUGUUUUUAUCUUUGUUUUCAGGGUGGAACUCCCUAAGGAGACUUUGAAAAUAAUUUUAUGAUGUUUUUUAGAAUAAAAAUUUGUUUAAGGACUUGAAAUGUUUGCAACCUAUUUGACGUGCUUUCAAAUAUAUAUUUUUUUAAAAUAAUUUUUAUCAAUUAUGCAAAAACCGUUGUAAAAAAAAAAUUAACAAAUAUGUUUUCAAAUAUAAAAAAAUGUUUUCUAUUUUAAAACCAUUUUUAAAAACAAUUCUCAAACAUGGUCUUUGGUUUUUGGUUUUUUGGUUUGAGAAUUAUUGAGUUGAUUAAUGUGGAGUAGGGAAGGGUGAAAAGUGUAUGCAUGGAUGAAUAUUAUAAAAACGGUGCUCCUUUUUUUUAGUUUUUUUGUAAUUUUUCCUCUAACAAAACAAAAUAACUUCAAGAGGUAUAUUAUUUACUUCUUUUAUCAUUUUUUGUUUUUUAGUUUCCCUUAUAUUUUUAUAACUUUUGAUCCAUUUUUGUCUCGAUAUUUUUAUCAAGAUUUUCAAUAUAUCCAUAAAAUCCAAAUAAUGAUAUAUAUAUAUAUAUAUAUAUAUGAAAACUGAUAUUUUCAUCAUUGUAUCAAAAUGAGAUAUAAAAAAAAUGUAAUGUUUUAUAUUAGAAUUUGAAAAAACACUUAAUAUUAAAAUGAUUUACUUUGUAUUGAGAGAUGAUAUAUGUAUAAUUAUUUUUUAUUUUAAAAAUAUUUAUAAUUUUAUUUGCAAAUUUUAUUUUUAUAUUUAAUUAUUAUAUAGAACUUAUGAUUUUUUAAUUUUUUUUAAUAAUAAAUUAAAACAAUUGGAAAUACGAUAAUUAAAAUAGAUUAAUUUAUUAUACUUAAUUAAUUUAUUAAAAUUUUAUUUUUACAAAAAUGUUAAAUAUUUAGUAUAUAGGAAAAGAAACGAAGAAUGCUGUGUAUUGCACAAAAAGGAGUUGGGUUUGGGCCCUUACCUUCAUUUUUGAGUUUUGACCGAGAGAAAAUAAGGUUUGGACGCCAUAGACUUUGAGUAAUUGUGUGGACAAAUCGAUAAAAUAUCCCAAUAAAUGAGAAGAAAAAAAAUCCUAAUAUAUAUUGUCAACUUUCCACUAUAUUUUCAUCACUAUUUUGAUAUACCAUCACGGUAUAAAAGUUUUAAAGAUAUUAUUAAUACUCAAAAACAUGAAAAAACUAUUUAUUUAUUUAUUAUUAUUAUUAUUAUUUAUUUUUAUUUUUUAUAAUCGUGGGUGUCUGGACCAACUCACGCACACCUCGACUAAUUCCACGAAGUCUUGAAAUUAAUAAUGGGAUAAAUCUUCUAAUGAAGAGGACUCCAUGUACAUUAUGUAUUUUAUAUUAUUAAUUAUAUGGAUUACCUCAAAUGAAAAAAAUAAAAAAUUUCCUUCUUCUUCAAGUGGUGUAGGAUAUUGUGAUAGGUGUACAAUAAUUUUUAUAUGAAGUAAUAUACAAAUUAAGAAUAAAGAAAUUGAUUUUUAAAAUGAGAUAUAUUUGGAUUCACCUAAUUACUUCACACAUCCACCGUUUUACACAUCUACUUUAAAACAUUACUCUCAUUAAUACAUUUGUAUAAAUUUUUUUGGUAUACCUAAAAUAUCCUUUUCAUUAUUCACUUGGACACCUACCUUGUCUUGAAUUUUUCCUUCUCAAUAGGUAAAAUCCUUUUUUGGAAGUUGUUUGUUAAUAAAAAAAUAUUUGAAAUAAUUUCAGGUUUAAGAAAUGAGAUUUUUUUUUUUUAUAAAAGAAGAAAAAAAAACCCCGAUUUUGCGAGUGUCCAAAACUUGUAAGACUAAGCACUAAAAGUGUGUUUGGGAGUAUGGUUUUAGACGAUCUUGAGGGUAUUUUGGUUAUUUUAUUAAAAGUCAUUUUUAUCUUAAAUGUUAUUAUUAUUAUUUUUUAACCUUUUGCUAAAAAUAAGUUACUUUCAUAUAAUUUAUUUUUGACUUUUUAUUAUUUUUUUAAUUUUUGAUUGAAUAUAAAAAAAUUAAAAUAUUUGAUUUUUUUUUAAUUAUAAAAAUAAUAAAUUGAUUUUCCUUUACUUUUUAAUGCUUAAUAAAAAUAAAAUAUAUAAAAAAUAAACAAUUUAAUAUUUAACACUGUUUAAUACUAUUUAAUAUUAAGUUCAAUUUAAAAUUAAAUUAAAAAAAAAAACAACAUGAAAUUUUAAUUCAGACAUAUGCAUAUAAAUAUUUGAUGGAUACAAAAAUAAUCAGUCUUUUUAAUUAUAUCAAUUUUUUUCCUUAUAUUUCUUUCGUUUAUUUCAUUGUCAUUUUAUCUUUCUUAUGCCUUUUUGAAUUUUUUUUUUUUAAAUAUCCUUUCUCACUUUCACUCAUUUUCUUUUUAUCUUUCCUAAAUCUUUUAUAACAUCUAAUAUAAUUUAAUAUUCUAGUAAAUAUUUUUUAUAGCUCAAAAAAGUAAUACUAAGAAUUUACAGUUGAAAAACCCUAAUUCUUCAUCAAUUAGCUUAAUUUGAAUUCAAAUUAGAAGUCAACUAAGCUAUUAAAAUAUAACUAGUAGUCAACAAAAGACAUCAAUUUCAAAAUAAAAGUAACUUAAAGGGAAAUCCAGAAUUAAUUUAUGAAUGCAUGGCCCAUGGCUUCUAAUUUAUUUCAUUUAUUGCUCAUUAUAACUCAUCCCAAACAAAGAUCCACACUCAUCUCCACCAUUUCUCUAAAGAAAAUUAAGAUGCAUAUUCAUGGCCUUCGCUCCUCAUGUCCACAAUUCUCAUCAUUGUUUGGGGCGGCAUAUAUUGGAAGUGCAGUUCUCCACACAGCUUUCCAUUCUCUCUGAAUCUGCAACUCAAAUCACACAUAAACAUAGAUAGAUAGAUGAGAGAGAGGGAAAGAGAGGGAGAGAGAGAGAGAGAGAGAGGGAGAGAGAGAGAGAGAAAGAGAGAGGGAGAGAGAGAAAUACCAUUGCUAAGCUCAGCACAUUCAUUCAUGGAACACCCAAGGCUGCAGUAGUAAAGUGGAUUAGAAGCAGGCCUAAAUACACACUGCUUCAAACACUUGAAGGCACAAGAGAAGAGCUUCUUGGAGUUCACUAUGCAUUUCAAGAAGCAUGGGCCAUAGCAACUCUCCCAGCUGGCUGUUGCAUGCCCUGCAAACACCAGCAUCACCACCAUUGCCAUUAUGCCUACUCUUCUCACACCUCUGAUCACCUCCAUCUCUCUCAGAUUGUCUUCUGCUCUGAGGCCACCCCAUGGCCCAAGGACACUAUUUAUAGGGUAAAUGCCCUACAAAAGCAAUUAACUCACUGCUAAGAGAUAAGAACAAUGUGGAUAUCAUCCAAUGCAAUGAACUGUUUUGUAUUUUCCAAAUUAAAGAAAAUGUGGGUUGAAUUGAUUAUCUGCAGUCCAAAAAAUAUCAUAAGAUAUGAUUUGUUGUGAAUGCAGUUUUGGUUGAGUUUUGACUGCUGUAAUUGAAGUUUCUAAAUGAAGGAUUAUGGAGCAGUUAAUGUGUGUCAUCUAUGAGUUGGAAAGAAAGAUAUAUCUGAAGUAUUAAAGGCAGAAAAUCAAAAUGUAUUUUUGAAAAAUCUAUAUGAUUAUUAUUAUUUUUAAAAUUGGUCUAUUUUCAGGAAAUGUGUGGUUUGCUAAUAAAUUUAUUUCUUUUGAAACAAAUUAAUUAAUGUUUUCCUUUUUUUUUUUCCUGAAAAUUUUGAAAGUAACGUACAACUUUAAUUUGUACAACCCAAUUUGUGUUUAUAUUUAAUAUAAUAUAACAAUAAAAUAAUAUUAUUUAAUUUUCCUGGUCAUUUAAGAUAUUUUUAAUCUUUUAAAAUUUUCAAUUAUGAAGAAAUUAAUAAUUUAAGAAAUGUCUAUUUGUACCCUUUUGACAUUGAUAUUAACAUCAUUAAUUUAAUGCAUUAAAAUUAUUUAAUGAUUUAUAAAUAUAUAAACGACAUGAGUUGUCUCAGUAUUUUAUGACAAAAGUAAUAGUGUUUGAGAUACUUUUUAAUUCCUCAUUCAUGACAUCAACAAAUCAUAUAAUAUGUUAAUAUUAUCAACUUGAUGCAUUGAAAAUAAGAAAAUAUAAAAAUUAAGAUAAAAAUACAGUGAUAAAGAGAAAAAAAUAUAUAAAAAAUAUAUAAUUUUUAAAAAUAUUUUUUUAUAAAAAACUAAAGGCGGUUAAACAUUUUGCAUUAUUUUCUAAUUCUUCUAGAUAAUCCAAAUAAAAAAUUAGAUAUUCCAUCUUCCUUAAACUCAAUACAAAAGCAUGAUUUAUUAACUUAAAAUUAAAAAUAAUAUUACAUAAUUAUGUAAACCUUUUUUUUAUUUAUAAAAUAAAUGUAAAAAUUAUAGUAAAAAAAAUAUUUUAGAAGAUGCAAAUAGUAUUUUGGUUUUAGAUACCAAAUGAUUUCAUCAUGAUACAUUCUAAUUUAUAAGGGUUAAAACCAAAAAUUUUGUUAAAAUUAAAUGUUUAUUGAUUACAUAUGGCUAAUGUGGAGGUCACAUGCUUUAAAUGCCCUUAAAAAAAUUUCACCCACUUUAAGGCAUUUUAAAUGUCCUCAAAAUUUGACUGACUUUAGUCGAAGGAUAUUAUGGAAUUUUAGUCUAUUAUUUUGCUAAAUGGCCUUUCAUCUUUUAUCUUAUCCUUUACAAGAAUUAUCAAAAUAAGUGACAAUUUUGGGUCAUUAAUGCCACUAACCCACUUUAUUUGGUAAUUUUUCCUUUGACUUAUAAUAUUUUGUUAACAAUAAUCUUAUAAAAAACAUUGUUAUGUAAAUUAGUGUUUGGAUAUAUUUUUUUUUUUAGUUGGGGCGGGGUACCAUUGAAAACAAAUGAUAAAAGCACUUAUUUUGAAGAAUGAUUUUAUGAUUUUUCAAAACUUUAAAUAUACUUCACUCAUUUAAUUUUUUGGGGUGUUUUAAACUUUAUCUCUUCACAUUUUAAACCGCACAUUUGUCCCCCAAAAUUGUUUUAAAAAAAAAACAAAUACUUUGGCCCCUAAAUUUAUUAAAAAGUCAACAAGCAAUUUAUUAAAUAAAGAAACAAGACUAAAAUGCAAUGAAAUAUUUGUUAUUUAAAUUUGAAGUUGCUACACUUUGUAGUUACAUGCAAAAACUAAGAUAGUCAUGUUAACGUUUCUCUAAAAUGAAAAAUCAAAACUGGUGUCUAUCAUAUUUUGGAAGUGUUUGAACAAUUCUAUUUCAAACUUGUUGAUUCCACCUAAGUUUAAAUCAAUGUUCAGAUCAGAGUGUAAAAAAGAAUCAUUCCUUUUAUAAUUUUAUAGAGAGUUUGUAAUUAAAGGUAAAAUAUCGUUUGUUAACAAAUUUAGGGGCAAAGUGUUAGGUUUUUAAUGUAAAAGAGUAAAGUAUAAAACAUAGUUGAUGGGACAAAGUAUAUUUAACCAUUUUUUAAAGUUUAUUAACAUCUAUUUUAUUUUAUUUUUGUAAAGAAAUAGGAGUUUGGACGAGGACUAUUGGGACCUAUAGGAAAAUAGUGGUUCUCUUAGAAUCUAAUUAUGAAGUUGACUCAACAAUCUACUAAAGAGAGUGAACUACAUUAUAGUAUCCUAUGAAAUUAGAAUGAGCAAAGUUUCGAUCCAUGACCUACUAUUCAUUGCAGUAAUCAGCUGAUAUUCUCUAGUUCCAACGAAAUUAGAUUCUAAUAUUCAUUAUAGAAUCUAAUUAUGAAGUUGACUCAACAAUCUACUAAAUAGAGUGAACUACAUUGCAGUAUCCUAUGAAAUUAGAAUGAGCAAAGUUUCGAUCCAUGACCUACUAUUCAUUAUAGUAAUUAGCUGAUAUUCUCUAGUUCCAAGGAGCAUAUGUCAAAUCAUAUUAAAGGAAUUACUAUGACAACAAAUUUCAUAAUCACGUGUCAUUUGGAUCACCUAAAGGGACACAUUAUCUUAAUUCCAUGAGAUAUCAUUGUAAGGAAAAUUGGAUUACUCCAUUCCUUACUACAUAAUCCAUAUUAAGAUAAAGAUCUAGAGAAGAAAAAGUUCUUACCUGGAUUUGGAUGUUCCUAGAUCAAUUUCACAUGGAGAAUAAGAAGUUUGAAGGUCUCGUGCACCUAAGAUCUUUUGCUCGAUAACUCGAACCAUGAUCUUGACACUCUAAAGUGUGAGUAAUGGAAGAGAGCAAACAUUGACUCUAUCUUUAUUUGGAGGUGGAAGACGGUUCUCACCAAAAAGUGAUGGAAACCCAACCCCUAAGGGUAUUUAUAGGGUUCUCCUACUAAGCAUAAGUGACUUGAACCUGCCAAGAUUUAGGUCACUUAAUCUAGCCUUAACUAGGUCCUAAUUGAUUAAUAAACCACAUAAGGUAAUCUAAUUAAUCAAUUAGUUCAGUCAAGAUACUUUAUUCACUAUCCCUUAUGCAACCUUGCAUAAUUAUUAAAAUGUUCAUAUGCACAAGAGUUAACCUAAAGUUAGUUCAAUCCUCAUAGACCAUGUCAUCAUGGUAUAUGAGCUUAAAGAGGGGACCACUGAAACCCAUAGGAGUACUAACCCCCUUAUAAUCUAAUUUUAAAGUUGAUUUAAUAUUCUACUAAAGAGAAUCAACUACACUCUAGUCCCCUAUAUAAAUAAUAACAAAACGAAGCUUGAGUUUGUGACUUAUUAUCUAUUGCAUACAAACUUCCUAUGAACUGGUGUUUGUAAUUUAACAAGGUAGUGUUAUCAUCUAUCAAAAUUACCUCUUUAAUAUUUGAAUUACAAAUCUAAUUUAUUAUGUGAUCAAAUGACAUGAUUUAGCUCAUAAAAAAUAUAUGUCAAUUCCAUUGUGGCGCCACAAAUUUCAUCAUUAUAUGUCUUUUGGAUCACCCAAUGGGACACACUGUUUCAAUUUCAUGAGAUAUCUAGUAUCUAUAUUGAGAAUACUUAUUGCUACCAACCUCCAUCAACAAUGACAUAAUCCAUAAGGAUAUAUGACCACUUUAGGAUCUUAUCUGUAAGUCAAACUCUCAUGUUAAUUUUAACACAAGGUCAAUAUUCUCUUUAGGUUAAGAGUCCAUGCAGUAUAGUAGUUGGGUGAAUCGUGAUUGUAGGACCUCAGAUGCUACCAACUCUCCUAAAAGCAAUUGCUAUUAGGAAAUACACAUAUCCUAAUAUUUUAGUGCAUUCACCCAAGCGUUCAUAACAUUCAAACACAAGAAGAGUUGAUGGACAUGACUAACCCUCCGAUCUACCAACAAUCUCCCCUCCCCCCCAAUGACACCCUUGGGGUUCAAACUCGUGACCUCAGUUCUCAUACUACUUAUAGGACCUCAGGAGCUACCAACUUUCUUAAAAGCAAUUGUUGUCACGAAAUAUGUAUACCCUAACCUUAUAGUGCAUUCACCCAAGCGCUUACGAUAUUCGAAUAUAAGGGGAGUUGAUGGAUGUGGCUAAUCCUCUGAUCUGCCAAUGGAGUAGAUUCAAAGUUUAUGAUGGAUAUGAUGGAGGUGCAGUAGAGGCAAGAGGGGCCUUGUGUGCAUGUCAAAACAAGGGGCCACUUCUGCUACAGUUUUUUCAUGUGGGUUGCUCUUAGUUCAUGGGGAAAUGUUGUGAGAUCAUAGGUCAGUGAGACUGAUGUAAGUUGAUACCCGUGUUUUGUAUGUGAGAAUUAAUAAAUGAUCAUGGUUAUAAUGUAUUGUUCAUGGAGAUUUUUUAUUAUUUUAGGAGGUUGAAUAGAUAUGGAGAGACAACUGUGAGUGUUUAGCUAGGUUGGCAAUUCCGGACAAAAUUCCUAAGUGUCCCCUAACUCGGCUUUUCUAUUCCUAUUCGGACUACUUGACUUUGAAGACUAAGACUUUGCUAAGAGGCCAAGGUAUGUAGUCGAGUGUGGAGUGAUUGGGUGUGAAUCAACCCGGUUUUUAAUCUUUAAAUGUGUUAGAAAGUUGGGAAAAAUGGUUUUUGGUGCAAGGCUUUUAUUACUCUGUUUCUGGAUCGAUCCAGGUGUAGGGGUGGAUCUAUCCAACUAAUGUUUUUUUGAUCAAAUCUCAGCCAUUAGAUUAAGGGUUUCU